GGCCUAAUGCAAAGCAAAGGGAAAGCUCAUGCACAGUUUUGGCUUUUGACUCACAUCACGCUCACUCAGUAGUUUUACUGCCCUUUUUAAUUUGCAGAUCCGAUGCCAAAACCACGCUGCAUGCUCCGGCAACCCGGAGACGGUGAUCAUCACCGACAUGAACUACUAUCCGGUCGCUAAGUACCACUUCGACCUCAGCGGCACGGCGUUCGGCGCCAUGGCUAAACCUGGCCGCAGCGAUGAGCUCCGCCACGCCGGCAUCAUCGACAUCCAGUUCAAGAGGUAGGUGGAGGAACAAGCAUUUCUAGCUCGUUGCGGAGACAGAGCCAACAGACAAUGCAACAACCUGCAGUAGUAGACCCUACUACCGGAACACAAUCAUAUUUCGACCCUCUAUUUACUGAUUACUGGUGCUGUGGAGCCCCUGUACUUUGCGCAACUAUAACUCUAACGACAGUGACCGAUUAUCCAUUGGGCGGUCCCAAGUAGAUUCGCACAGAUAGAUCUUAGUACUAUAUAUAUACUUGGACGUACUUUCACAACUUGUCUUGCGCAUACUAUACCUGUGUUCUACUAUCUGAAGCUGAAAGCCUAAUCCAACAUAUCACAUGGCUUUAAUUCCUGCAGAGUGCCCUGCAAUUACCCUGGGCAGAAGGUGACAUUCCACGUCGAGGAGGGGUCCAACUCCGUCUACCUCGCGGUGCUCGUCGAGUUUGAAGAUGGCGACGGCGACGUGGUGCAGGUGGACCUCAUGGAGGCCAACUCCGGCUACUGGACGCCGAUGCGCGAGUCCUGGGGAUCCAUCUGGAGGCUCGACUCCAACCACAGGCUGCAGGCGCCCUUCUCGCUGCGCAUCACAAACGAGUCCGGCAGGACGCUGGUGGCCAAUCAGGUCAUCCCGGCCAACUGGGUGCCCAACACCUACUACCGCUCCAUUAUCCAGUAUUGAUUUAUUGCUUAGGACAUCAAUUAUUCGGGGUCAUUGUUUUUUGAUUAAUUUGGUAUGUACCGUAUCUAUGUGGAAAUACAUUAUUGGAUUGAUGAGGUGUCUCAGUUUAACUAGUAGGUGAGAUAUCAGGAAUCCGGCUAUAUAUGCCGUCUGUACGAUUUGUUAGAGUGCGAGAUUCACGAGUGGGAAACAGAGGAGGCAAGUUUGCAUGUGCUUUCCCGCCCACUGCCGAUGUACCGUGUUAUGUGAUCAAUCAAAGUUAUAAAGUACGAACACUUGUGUACCACUAACUAAGGGCGAUACCAAUGAAAAUACUACUUAUUAGGUCUUGUUUGAUGCUCAUAUGUCUACCUUAAUCCACACAUCACAGAUAUAAUGCGUGGUACGUAGAAUUAAGUCGCAAGUAAAUAAGCGUACGUAUCUAUCCUAAUAGCGGGUGUGCAGCUAGGUUGGUAUAGAAUUUAACUCACACCCUAACACACAUAGAUUGAGAUAAUAAAAUACAUGAGCAUCACACAAGUCCUUAAUAGUUUCUAUUUAUGGCCUUGUUCAGUUUCAAAAAAGUACCUAAAAAUUUUUAAGAUUAUCUGUCACAUCGAAUCUUACGGUACAUACAUGGAGCACUAAAUAUAUACAAAAACAAAAACUAAUUACACAGUUUGCCUGUAAUUUACGAGACAAAAUCUUUUAAGUCUAGUUAGUUCAUAAUUGGACACUAUUUAUCAAAUACAAACGAAAGUGUUACAGUACCCAAAACCAACAAUUUUUGCCAACUGAACAAGGCCAGACAAUCUAAAGGCCUAUUUGGUUAUGGGCGGUAAAGUUUACCACCCGUCACAUCGAACGUUUGGACACAUACAUGAAGUACUAAAUAUAGACUAUUUACGAAACUAAAAAUAUGGCUAAAGAGUAAUUUGCAAGACGACUCUUUUGAGCCUAAUUAGUCCAUGAUUGGAUACUAAUUGAAAAAUAAAACGAAAAUACUACAGUACCUGUUAAACUUUAACAAUCCCAACCAAACACUCCCUAAGAAACUACACUACAAAAUAAAUCUCCUUCAAUCAUCUUUUUCCUCUCCACUACUGCAGAAAGAAUAACCGUGGCGGGCAUUUUCCCUUUUCCGUAGCGGGCAUACGCGUUCGCCACGGCCAUAAGGCCACGGUAAAUCGUGACCACUUCCGUGGCAGGCUCCGCUGACCGCUACGGUAAAUGGAUUAACCGCAGCGGGCAACGUAAAGCACCCGCUACGGUUAAUUCCCAUUUACCGCAACGGGCUCUUUACGUCGCCCGCUACGGUUAAUAGAUUAACCGCAGCGGGCGUUUUAUGUUGCCCGCUACGGAUACUGCUAUUAACCGUAGCGGUUACUUUAUGUUGCCCGCCACGGUUAAGUGUUUUUAAAUAAAAAACACAUUGCAGAACCAUUGCUGCAUAUGAAUUUAAACAAUUUACAAAUUUCAGAAUCUAGAUUUCAUUUCAGAAAUAGAAGAUAUAUAUAUAUAUAUAUAUAUAUAUAGACACACAUAUGCCUGAAAGUUCAAUACAUAAGACACAACAUAAUAUAUAAAUCCACUUAGUUGUUCUCAUCAUCCACAUAUACACAUAUGAAACCCGCGAAUCCGCUACACAUCACAAUUCUACUGCGUGGGUGUAAUCCGUCGGCCGUAGCAUGGUGUCCCAUCUACUAAGCUUCUCGAACUCUGGUCGAACUGCCAAUUCACCUUCAUUGUCGAAGAAUGGUUCGCCUUGGAGCACGCAUUUCUCUAGAAUGAACUUACAGAUGUCCGCCUUGAUUUGCUUAAAAGCUUGGCGUUCAUUCUUCAUCGUCUCACCACGAUUCUUCACUGCUUCUUUGAGCUUCUUCCAGCUGUUGGUGUACUCCUUGCUUUCCCUUAGGUUCUCGCAGGUGUACAAGCCACAUGCCUUUGAUCCCAAGGGUUGUUUGGCGCACUGCACGAUCGAUACAAAAGCACUAGAGCACAUAUAUACCAAAAGCAUAAUUGAACUACCUUUGAAAUAUACUUACGGGGAAAUCACAUCGGAUUUUGAGGUGGUGCUUAUGCCUCUUUUUGAAUUUCUCCGUUCUCCGAUCCCAGCAUUGCGGAUCCUUGAGAUAUGCACUAUAAGCGCUGCACGAAGUGUAUUAGUGUUAGCGUCAAUUUGAAUACGAUAACCGUAAAGGAUCAAGAAGCUCGGUGGCUUACUUUUUCAAGCAGUCUUCGAUGGCCUUGUACCCCUUUUUGUUCGGUACCUGUAACGAGUCAAAUAUAACAGCCCGGCCAUCUUGAGGAUAGACGAGGAAGGCAACCCAGUGGCCGCCGGCUAGGUCAUUUCUACACCAUUGAAACAAGUAUAGGUUAUGUCAACGAGAAGGCAUGACCCUUGCCACUUUUGCUCUACAUGGAUGUUUUCGACUUACCCAAAGUGGUAGGCAGCCAUAAUACAAUGCGGCCCAUCCGGGUUGAGCUUCUUCAUUACCUCAAAGAUGUACCUUGACAAUUUUUUCUUCUCCUCUUUCAUGUUUUCUUCGUACUUCUUUUCCCUCUGCCGCACGGUCAACUCUGGGUCCGUUAUCUGGAAACCCUUGAUCACUCUCUCAGCAAUAUGCAUUGGAGAGAGGUAUAGGAUAGGAUGGUGCCUUUUGUUGCUAAUAGUGAUCGUCAACCUACACGGAAAAGUCAUUGUGUCCUAAAAAUCAUAUAGUUCUCCAAUACAAAUGUAGAGAUUGGUCUAUGAAGGUCGCAAUCAUCACUUACAGAGAGAAUAAGGUGAUUUGGACGAUGUCAAGGUCUUCUUCCCGCAAUAGGUUGUACAUGUCCUGGAAGUCCACAGGCAGCUGAAUAUCGGCACCGGGCAAGUGGAACAACUCCGAGAGAAUCUUGACGGUGAAACCUGUCAUCCCGGCUUUUGCCGCUUCCAUAUACCACAGGUGGAACUUCCUUGUAUCCCACUUUUCAUCGUCGAUGAGCUGGGCCUUAGGUAGCAUGAACUUUCCAAGCUCAUAGUGGCCAGGACAGUCUUCCGCCUCGGGAAAUAGAUUGAUCUGGAGAGUAUUUGUAGGCCUGGCAAAACAUAGUUACAAAUGUUAUUACCAUUUCAUGUGUUACAAAGGUUACAAGAAUAUUAUGCUUGAUUGUCUCAUACCUUUCAGAUGUAGUAGUGUACGGGAGCAGUGUGGCGGUCAUGCCUGCAUUCUUGCUCGGUGGAGGAGGGGCUUCAAGCAUAGGAGUAGAUGUUGGCGGUGGUGUCUUAGUCCUUGUUGCCUCCUCCAUGCCUCCUUCUUGUUGUCUGCUUGGGCUCCAAGGAGGACUAUUUGUAGGAGGGGCACAGGUUGCACCCAUGUCUUUGUGCCCCUCAUCUACUUGUGCCUUCUCCUUAUCUCCGCCAUCGUUCUUGUCUUGUGCCUUCUCCUUGUCCUGGCCAUGGCUAUCGCCAUCACCUUGUCCUUUGCCCUUGUCCUCGCCAUCGCCUUCAGCAUCAUCGCCACUGCCAUCAGGAUCAUCGGGGGGACAAGAUCUAGCCACUGAUCGUUGUGAUCCGAUAGUUGAUGGCUGCGAUCCUGGUGUCGGUGUCGGAGUUGGUGUCGGUGGAAUGAUCUCAAUGUCUUCCUUAUUCCACAGAACUUCAUGACCAAUGGCCUGCCCAAGAAAUCUGACGUGUUGUAUGUUUGAAAGGUCCAAUUCGUACUCUUCUUGCUCUGGCACAUUCCAGAGUGGGGUCACGACCACAUAGCCUUCUGGGAUUUCCUCUAGGCUGAAAUCUAUGCUUUUGGAUGUAGCAUUCCCUCAGCUAUAUACAUCUUCUUGGAUCUUCCGAACGGGAUCAGAAGUUGGAUGUGUGUGUCUUUCUAGACGUCCUCGGUCCAGUGCCUUGGUUGACCCUCGAUCAUCGACAGCCCUUGCGGUUGUUGAAGUGGAGCCGUGGCCAGGCCAGCCUCGCAAAACAUCUGUGACCUCAUCGCCACCAUUUCAGGCUCAUUGCUCGUGAAGGCUUCUUUUUUAUUGAUUGUUUGAUCACCUCGGCCAUGCCUUCUUCGAAGCCUUUCUAAUACAACGUGUCCUUGUACUUCUGCCUUGACUUGUAUGCGGAUGCGUCGGCCUGCCGCGACUCGACCAACUUCCAGCUCAUCUUGCACUGGACUCCACGAACACGGCCGCGAUGCUCUGGGGUUCCGAGGACCUUGGUCAGUAAGUCAUGGCCCCUGCGGACCUCGAUGUUGUCCUUAGAUUUGGCGGCCUGGACGAGAGCCUUCUCCAACUCCUCAUAUUGCGGCUCGUUGUACUUGGUCGCGUCUGGCUUUAGCUUCUUUGGAACGCGGGCAUACAUGAACUCCUUAGCUCUAACAUCAACGUCUUUGUACGUAUCAGGAAUCCCAACAGCCUGUCUAGCCUGUUCUUCUGCCCGCCAUCGAGCCCUAUGUCCGACAUAGCCAAUCAUGCCCAAGUGGUGGGGAUGCUUGUUCUGUUUCACCAGAGCACUGAACUUGGCGCUCUUUGCCUCUGCUUCAACGGUCGUCCUGAUUCGGCAGAAUUCUUCCCACACAUGCUCCUUCACCAUAGUGUAUUUCUGGUAGGGUGACUUCUUCUUCUUUAGAAAGUCCCGUGCCAGCAUCGACUUGAAGUUGCGAAAGGCACAGGACGCCACCAGUUCACCGACUCCUCAGUUGUGUAUGCCUCAAUCAUAGAGCCUUCUGGGUAAGCACGGUUAUGGACGUAUCUGCUGAGGGUGGACAUGAACCGCUCGUACGUCCACAUCCGGUGUAGGUACACGGGGCCAAGUUGCUCGAUCUAAUCAACCAUGUGCAUCAUCAGGUGUGGCAUAAUAUCAAAGUAAGACGGGGGAAAGCACAUCUCGAGCUAGCAGAGGGUCUCUGCAAUGAACUCCUUCAGGGCAGGCAGGUCAGCCUUACCGAUGACCUUCUGGGUGAUACGGUUAAAGAAGUAUGACAUCCGAGUGACCACCAUCUUCACGUAUUCUGGACCGAUAGCCCUAAUCACGAUUGGAAGGAACACCGUCAGCAUGACGUGACAGUCAUGUGAGUUGUAGCUGGCCAGUGUGAGGUCUUUCAUGGACACCAGACUCUUGAUGUUGGAAGAGAAACCGGUCGGCACCUUGAUACCCCUCAACAACUUGAGCAUAGCAAUCUUCUCGUCAUGCCUUAGGUUGUAGGACGCACCUGGUAGAUUGACUUUGCCGUUAUGAGUCGGACCCUGGUGAAGGUCCUUCCUGAUGCCCUGGUUCACAAGAUCCAACCGUGACUUCAGGCCAUCCUUCGUCUUGCUCUUGAUGUCCAGUAGGACACCGAUGGUGCUAUCGAAGACGUUCUUCUCGAGGUGCAUGCAGUCAAUGGCAUGGGGUGUUUUCAGGGUUUUCCAGUAUGACAGGUACUUGAAGAAAAUCGAUUUCUUCUUGAAAGGGACAGGCGGUGCGGCGUCCUCCUUCGUGUCCCGCUUUCGCUUUCUUGUCUGUUUUGUCCCCUCUUCUUCUGGUACCUUCUUCUUCUUCUUGCCAAACUCUAUGUGAUCCAUAUCCUUCACCAUCUCUUCUUCUGUACCUGUGCUUCUUGACGAGGAACCGUCUAUGCCUCAUGUACACCAUCUUGUGAGAUCCCUGGAGAUAAGUGUAGCAGGUCCCGUCGAUGCACACUACGCAGCCGAUCUUCCCUUUGAUCUGCCCUGAUAGUGAGAAGAGACCGGGGUAAUCGGUGAUGGUGACAAUGAUGAUGGCUUGGUGAACUUCUCUUUGCGAGAUGCAUCAAUCAUCUCUACCCCAACAUCAAAUAACUCCUGCAUUUCCUCCAUCAACGGCUCUAGGAAGACAUCGAUAUCGUUACCAGGCUGCUUCGGUCCUGAGAUAAGCAUGGUCAGCAUAAGAUACCUUCGCCUCUGACACAGAUGGGAAGGUAGGUUGUAGACGGUGAGUACAACCGGACAGGUGCUGUGCGAGCUGCUAAGCUCACCAAAAGGGUUCAUCCCGUCAGUACUCAGCGCGAGCCGAACGUUCCUAGGAUCCUUACCAAAUUCCGGGUAUGCCUUGUCAAAAUCUUUCCACUGUUGGCCAUCGGAUGGGUGCCAUAGCAUGCCAUCAUCCUUCUUGCGGUCAGCUAAUGCAUGCCAGGACAUGAGCUUGGCAUCCUCUGGGUUACCGAAUAGUGCACGCAAGCGGUCGGUCACAGGCAGGUACCACAACGAUAGUGCUGGACUUUUCCUCCGCGUGUAACCCUCUUCUUCCUCAUCCUGCUGAGACGAGAUGCGAUUGGCUGCGGCACUGCUAUUCUUGGCCCCCUUCUUCCUCUUCGGACCACCCCGCAAGGCCACAUCGUCGUCUUCGUCCACACGACAUCCAGCAUUCCGCGACUGGCGCCGCAGUGCAGACAGCUCGUCAUAUUCUCAUACUCCUUGCCUCGAUACAGGAUGCAGUGGUUGGGGUAGGCAUCAAACUUUCUAAGUUUCAUCGCAACUGGACGAAUCAACUUCUUCGCACGGUAGGUAUUUGCGGGGACCUUGUUACCCGUCGGGUACGUGGUAGCAAGGUAAUUUAACAGCUCAUUGAAGCCAUGUCGGGCCUUCAUCAUCAACAUGUGGAGGUUGAACCGAAGCACCGUACACUCCUUUGGACAAUUACCGCCAUCCUUAUACAGUGGAUCAAGUGCAGCCUGCUUCAUCUCCCUGAAAUUUUCCAACCACUUCGGGGAGCCAUACACAACGUCAUCUUCAUCGAUGUGGCUGACUAAACCCUCGAUCACCUCGAUAUCCUCCGGUUCCUCCACGGUAGCCGCCUCGCCAUCUGCAACACCAUCUGCCAUCUCCCCGAGUAUAUCCUCCACCGUGUAAUCACGAGCACUGUCAUUGUUGCCACAGGUUGGCCCUGCAGUCGUUGGAGAUGAGAUGGGCGCUCUAGGUUCUUGGUUCAUGGUCGUCAACGUCGAGCUCAAACCAGAUGCAUCGCCACUGGGGUCCACUCUUUCACCAUGAUGAGUCCAGACUGUGUAACCCUCCAUGAAACCAAACCGAAUCAAGUGAGACUGCACCGUACCGUCAUUCGUGAAGGCUGUCAGGUUCUUGCAGUGAGAACAUGGACAUAUGGUUGUCGUCCGCUUCGAUCUCUCUCGGUGAGCUUUCGUUGUGGCAAUAAACUUCCUCACUUCGACAAGGUACCGCAGGUCAAGCACCCGAUUCAUCCCAUGCAUCCAUUCCGACCUAUCCAUCUCGUGCCUGCGAAUCGUUACACAUCGAACAAAGAAGGUUUCAUAUGCAUCCAUUAAGAAUCUAGACAAAAAACAUAGCUUUCUCUCUCCUCCAUGAAACUAGAUCUAGAUCUAGAUCUACCUAUAUAUAGACAUAAAGGGAUGCUCAAAAGUGAGAGAAAGAGGAGGGAAAGAGGGGAGGAAGUUCCUAUGUACCUCUUAUGAUGUCCUACUCCACCAAAUCAAAGUUCUAAACCACAAUUCAAUUGUUUGGUCAAAUUUUAGGGCAAAACCACUCCCCCCAUAAUUUGGAAGAGAGCAGCCGAGAGGAAGAAGAAGGGGUCGGCUGGCUGCUAUUUAUACAGCCAAAGAACUACCGAAGCAGGCUUCAUAAAAAGCCCGCUGCGGUUAAUGUCAGUUAACCGAAGCGGGCGACGUAAAAUGCCCGCUACGGUAAAAGCAUUAACCGUAGCGGGCUGUUUAUGAUGCCCGCUACGGUUAAUCGUUUACCGCAGCGGGCGUUCCUGUGGCCGGGCCUAUACGCGUGCGGUUGAAUAACCGUGGCGGGCAAAAACUGUGCCCGCCACGGAAGUGGAAAUGUUCUCGUUGCGGUUAAUCAAUCCUGUAGUAGUGCUCUCUCCGCCCAAUCAUCUUCCUCUCUGUCCUCUAUUCUAUCUUGGUAUCUAUUAGACUCAUUCUAGUACAUUGCAUGUUGUUUCUUAAACUUCGGUUUUGUGCAAGACCUAGUUUCUUGUAGUUUUCAUCUGUCUCCUCUAUAAUAUAGUUGCUACAUUAACGGAAUGUCCUACAUAGCACUAUAUUAAAUGGCAUGAAAACUAACAUAAUCAUAGCUUAGGGAGCGAUGCAAUGACAAUGUUUGUACUGGUGUGUGAUAAAGGUUAUAGAUUGUAAACCUAUUGGGUCUCAGUCAACCUCGCUGUCAUGAUCUCCUUGGUAUAUAGCCUGACUUUGCCCAUUGCCCACAACUAGCAACCAUAAUUAAUUCGCUAUAUACGUCUAACCUCAUGGCUACCUUGUGUUGAGUACCAAAUAGGGAAGUUACCUAUGUCCCCUGAUUAUUGUUGUGAUAGUGCGAUUAACCCCUUGACUGAUCCUUCUAAUCAUCUAGGUGCUUAGGGAUACACCUUUCAUGUGUGUUCGCGCACACACACUAUAGACUCAUGUAAAGGCCCAUUGGGCCUGAGAUGGCCCGCUUCAAAGGGAGGCCCUAACCUCCAGAAACGUAGGCCUUGGAGCAAGGACCACACCCAAAUUGCACGCGCCUAGAGGCUGCUUGCCCCUAACCUUGGAAGGUGGCCGUUGGGGAGGUCACAAGGGCCAUCAUACUGCACGAUGAGCUCUCCAUCCCAAGGAUGUGAGAAAUCUUCCUCUAGAAUGUGACAUAUGUCCUAAACCUGACACUUGGGUAACGCCAUACGAGUCUAUUCGUUGGUCUAAAAAUCGAUGGCUGAAAAUACUGUUCGCUGAUUUAUCGUGAGAGAAAGACACUGUUAGCUGGCAGAAAAGGUACAACUUAAAAGACAAGCGAGCGAGCUCGCCUAGCCAUGGCUCUUCCUCCGUGCUCUACAAGGUUGUGUCUGCCACUCCCAGCACAGGGUCACACGAGGGCAUGCAGACAUGUAGCCACGUCCUUGUGGCACGUGAUGGACGCCAAGAGGAAGAGAAAUCCAACUAAGGCACAAUGGCAACUCCAACUUUUGACAGUCAGCUCUAGGCUCCAAGAGAAGAUGUUAGGGUAGUUCAGGUUAUUUGCCACAACCAGCAACGAGGGAUGGCACCCGUCAUCGCCACCAGCCAAAGAGUAAGACACAAAACACUAGGAUCUCCCCCAAAAAAUAUAUCUCCUUGUACUCCCCUGGCCCUCUAGUAUAUAAGGCUAUGUAGGGGCUCCUAUAGAGGGGAUUGGACCCUAGUUCGAGCAACCGACCAAUUGACCUGAGAAAUCCUAGAUCACUAGCUUAGCUCUCUCUUACCACCUCUCUCUCAACCAACGUAGGAACUCAAUUGAGCAUUCUAACACAAAGAAACCACUGCUGAAACAUAGGGCUUAGACAUUCGAACUAGGAUAGAUCCUUUCUGUCUUGAGUGCUAAACCACCAAAGUCACAUGCAUCGACCUACCGUUUGGAUCACUAUUUUUUUUGCGAUAGUUUGGAUCACUAAUUACUGCCAUAGAAUUGAACCCAUGAUAGUUGGCCACACCAAUCACACUACUAAUAGGAAGUAGCCGUGCACCAUUAGGGUGGGGUGGUAUGGGUGGAAAACCGAGCAGCUAGACCCUAACCUUGACUUAGAGUCUGUUUGGUUCAAGUGUGAGCUAUGAAAAAGCUAUUGUGAGUUGCGAGAUUUAGAAAAACAGAUAUUGAGCUAUGUGUUCUGAAAAAGUUGAAAGUUGUUUGGUUAAAACAACUAUGAAACCUAUCUUCUCUCUUUAUCUCAUUUGAAACAACUGUAAAACGUCUCUCUAUUCCUACCUAAUUGAAAAGGCAGAAAGCCAAAAGUAGUGUUCAAGGUGAUGCAAAAAUUGUACUACGCAAAAUCAGUUGCUUCUAAAAAAGCAGCUUCUUGUUCUACUCGUUUGGUAGGUGUUCUGCUUUCUAAAAGCUGAACCAACUGUAUCCCUAUCUAAGUCCUUGUUAAAAAUGUGAGAAUCAUCUUGAUUCCGUUGUAUUCUUCUUUUUCUUUCACCCCAUCUGAUAUAAUUUAUGGCAAAGCUUACCGUUCUUUUAGAAAAAAAAGUUUGUCCGAAUAUCUUGUGUUCACAGAAAUUGAACUGUUUCUUGAAGUUCUUAUUUCCAACUAAUCUCCAAGCACCCUCUCUCUCUCUCUUGCUUUUGUUGUAUCCUUUUUUUGAGACGGCUUUUCUUGUACCUUCCAUUAUCCAGUCCGAGCAGGAAUAAUAUAAUGUAGGGAGGAAUCUGAUCCUGACUUUGUAACCAGAAGCAAUAGGGUGUGUUUGGUUCAUUUCCUAUACAAGCCUGGCUAGCAAAAUUAAGCCAGGCUUGUGUUAGCCUGUCCAAGUCAAGCCACCCUAUUAGUGUUUGGUUAUCGUGUACUAGUUAAGCCUGGCUAAGUUAACUUUUGUUUGGUUGCCUGAAUUACUUGGUACCACUACAUCUUUUCUCUGAUGGUGAACUUACCUCCAAUUUCUCCGAGCGAACAAGUACGGCCCUCGGCCUAGUGGAACACGGGUCGCCGCUAACAUUUGCGCUAGCAAAGUCCCACGGAUGGAUUGGGUUGCUGGGCAGGAGUACAUGAUUUACAGCUUACCACCAGGAGAGCGAGAGGACGCCGUCGAGCUUGAGAGCGAGGAGCGUGGUGAAGCAGAGCAGCAGCGCGUGCGCCGCCACCCCUUGCCCGGCCCUCCGCACCCGCUCCCACGUUGCAGACUGAGGCGGCGCGGCUGCCCCCGUCCCCCGCUCGGCGGCUGCCCCCGUCAGAUCUGGUGACCAGUGAGAUAGAGGAGGACCCCUGCGCUUUCGCGGGCGUCUCCUGCACCUCCUCCAGCCGCGUCACCAAGCUCGCGCUCGGCGACCCGCGUGCGGGCGCGCCGGGCCUCUCGGGCACCUUCCUGUCCACGGCUGUCGCCAUGCUCCCCGCGCUGACGCGUCCCUCUCCUUCGUCCCCGCGCCGAGAACCUCCUCGUCGGCAACCUCCAGUCCGCCUUCGUGCUCGUGCUCCGCACCGUUGACUUCAAUAAGAACGGGUGUGGAGGUGUCGGGGGGCCGGGGGGGGGGGGGGGGGGGGGAGCAGAAAGGCGAGGAGGGGCAGGUGGAACGGCGGAGACGAGAACGGGGAGGCGGCUCUGUGGCCAUGGCUGCUCUGCUCUGCUGCGGACGGUGACGAGAACGGGGAGGCGGCUGGCUAGAGCCUGGCUCAGUUGGGAAGCUCGAUUUGGGCUUUCAAAGCUGGCCAGGCUAUGCCAGUACGGCCGGCCAAGCCUGGCCAUGCCCCCAAGCCCUAUUCAGUGAACCAAACACCCAAUUUUUGGCCCAACUAAGCCAUGCCACAUGUGGAAUGCAACCAAACACACCUAUAGAGGCUAGUUCAGCCUAUUCUUCUUUGGAAAAUUUUCUUAAUUAUUUGAGUUAGAAGAUUAUUAAGAUUUAGAAGUUUCAGGACAUUAGAACUCAGUGUAUAUAAGCCACAUUUCCUGACUGUAAAGCGAAAGAACACUCGCAGCGGACAGUUUGAGAGCUGAGUGGAUAUCAAAGCUUCCUUUCCUGAUGACGCCUUUUAUUUGCUUAUGCUACUCCAUUCCAAGAAGAUAUGGCAAUCCACAAAAGGAACACCAUGAUCAUUCGUGCACCGACCAAAACAUGCAUUAUAACAUAUCAGUAGACCGCUCUCAACCUCAUGCAUACGUGCCUGUCUUUUAAACUAAAUCUACGCAUGUCUUUUAAACACCAUCUUUUGCAAAAUGACUCCUAUAAUUAGUAGAUGAAAUCAAUGACAUGCAUGCAUGCAUACCUUUGUAACUAUGUGUUACUAGAAACUAAGCAAGUUGGCAACCAAACCAAACUAACUAAUUAGUAUUUGAUACUACUAAAAUUCAUGCUUAGAUACGUUGUAUAUUUUAGAACGGAUGGAGUAUUUAACAAUCGUGCCCUGUUUCAACGCAAAGGAUGCUGAUUCUAUGACAAAUACGAUCGUUCAUACUACUAUAUUACUACUAUUAUGAGAGCCGAUCGGCUAGGUAGACCGUAGAGCCUAGUCUGACUUAACUGACUUCUUCCCGUAAUUACUGGCAUAAUAUUCUCUCAGUUCAGUCACUUGCAAUAACCGCACCAAAUAAAUGAAUGUUCGAGUUGUUGGUAAAUUGACAAGAUCUUUCUAUCUGAUCGAAUUGACGACAUUUGAGGCAUCAGCAAGACAGCAAGUAGGUUUGUUGAUGAAAAAAAGGUCAAAUAAUAAUUCUCCUCAAACUGCUAAGCAUCAUUGCGCUUGGUGGACAACAAUAACAGUGUGCUCUGUUAGUUCGUCCAGCAGUUCAGCUGUCGAUAACAUUUCUUUUCCGCUGCAAAAAGAGAACCCAAGAGAAACGGAUAGCCCCUCUGAAGUCAGAACUAUGCAUUUCAUUUUCGCUCGUCCAAACAGUAUCCUCCGGACAGAGACGAAGUAACUGACGCAUGAUGAAUCCCGGGCAUGUGCGCGCUUCAAGGAUCGGAUGCCGACGACGGCUACGCAGCGCCCGCCACACCCUUCAUGUUAGCAUGUGAGGUGCGGCCCACGGCGGUCCAAGGAAGCGGCGGCAGCCACGCAAAAUGCAUCCAGCACGAUUUGCGUCGACGUCGCACUGAACACCCGCCGUAUUGGCCUGCGCGAAUCAUACGGAGUGGUGGUUCUGCUAUGACGUAGUACGUGGGAUCGUAUAACGAGUUCAUUGCUUGUGCGUUCUGAAAAAACCACUCGACCUGGUGUAGCACGAAAUCGUGCUGUUUUUCUGGCUUCUCGCGCCUGCUGCAGUGGACAUACACUCUAGCUAAAAUGAGAGACCGCCCUAAGAGGAAUUUUAUGGGCCAGUUUCCAAAGCACUUAUAUUUUGAAAAUGUAUGGAAGAGUUUCAUAUCUAUGAAACUAUCUUUACUCCAAUAAAACUCUCACCAUCUCUCUCAUCAUUAAUAUAGUGUCACAUUAGUAUAUUUAGUAUGCAUGAAACUUCCAUUAAACCUUCAUUGAGACUGGCCUAAGGUCAUAUGAGCAAUCAAAGCGGUUGAAUCGGGUGUCUAAAUUUAAUCUUCAAUCCUAUCACAAAACUUUAUCUACUCUUGGAAUGUUAAUGCCACACAAAUACUAAAUCACAUGUGAAAGCUAUAAAUACGAUAAGUAAAGGAGUUCUAUAAUAGAGGACAAGAUCUUAGAGACACCAUGAUAUAUCAUGUAGUAUUAGCUGCCAAAUCGUAACCUCUAUCCUUGUAAACGUGAAAACCUGCGAAUACAUAGCUCAAACAUGCAGUUGUGCCUGCGCAAUGGAAAACAUCCUCCGCUGGGCCAUGGCUCGUUUGCUAGUGCUCCACAGGUGGGCCCUCUGCCCCUCUCGCAAGGUUCAUGGUGCGCAACAUGAAUAUAUUUGGUCAUGUAGCCUGAGGCCCGGUAGCCCGACACGAAAUGUUGCUUUUUGGCCCAACCAGAGCCUGACCCGGCUCAAGAGGCAUCGAGCUCAGGCUGGCCCGUCACGGGGCACCAGGUCGUGCUUGGGCCACCACUCAGGCCCGUGUGCUGGCACGGCUUUUAGGGGGCGGCCUAGCAGCGACGCGGCCUUCCCCCCAUGGUUUGCUAAGAGCUUGUUCGCUUGUCUAAAAUGACAUAACUGAAAGUAUUGUUUGCUGAUUUGUUGUGAGAGAAAAAUACUACUAAAUGUCUGGCAGAUUCGGCAAAUAAGCUCAAACGAGUAACAACCCACCUACCUGCUACACUCAUUUGCCCCUCCCUCCCAAUCCCAACGACCCGACCCUCACCAACCCUGUUGCACUCCUUCUCGCUCUAUCUCGCGGUCGCGCUCGUCUCCCACUCAGUCGCACUCUCGGCUCGCUCGCCUCCCGCUCACAGUCCUGCCACACUGCACCACUGGCCGCCUCCUCCAUGCCCUCCCUCGUGCAGUCGCGCCGACUUCCAGUGACGGCGGCGGCUUCCAGGAUCAGAUCCAGCAACGGUGUUGGCUUACACGGGUAGAUCUAGCAGCAACAUUGACUUCUAGCAUCGGAUCCACCAACGACAUCUUCAAGCACGAUGCCGACCCUAAUUCCUUGGUGGCCAGCACCCUGCGCGGUCACCGCCACCUCUUCUGCUUCCCCUUUCCUCUCUCCGUUGGUAGUGAGUGGGCCUCGAGAUAGCCCAGCCUGUUGGAUGUGGGUGCUUAGCGGGCCGGCACGACACGAAUUUCGCCUCACAGACCCAUGCUUGGGCUGUCAAUCAGGCACGAGGCUCGCUGAGGCACGGCGUGCCAUGCCAGCCUAACACUCGUGGGCCAUGCCUGGCCUGUGCCCGUACCAAGCCGGGCCGAACCGCCCUGAUGGCCAACUAUAAGCAUAAACGGUGGACGCGCGGAUGGGUCCUAUAAAUCUCAUGCGCUGGCUCGGCUCAUCAAUUUGCUGUUUAUUUUUCCGAUGCCUCUUCUAGUUUUGUUGUGUUUGGUGCUAAACAGAACUUCCGAGCAGCCUAAAUGCAAAAUGGGCCGUGCAUGUGCCAACCUUAGGGUCUGUUUGAUUAGUCACGGUAAAGUUUAUCAUUCAUCACAUCAAAUAUUUGAACACACGUAUGGAAUACUAAAUAUAGAUUAUUUAAGAAACUAAAAAUACAGUUAGAGAAUAAUUUAUGAGAGAAUCUUUUGAGCCUAAUUAAUUCAUGAUUAAAUACUAAUUACUAAAUAAAACGAAAGUACUACAACCCCAACCAAACACGCUCUUUGUUUUGUUGGGUUAGGCCUUGUUUAGUUCACAAAAUUUUGGUUUUUUUUACUACUGUAGCACUUUCGUUUUUAUUUAACAAACAUUGUCCAAUCACAGAAUAACUAGGCUCAAAAGAUUCAUCUCAUAAUUUUUAGGUAAACUGUGUAAUUAAUUUUUAUUUUUAUUUUUAUUUAAUGCUCCAUGCAUACGACCAAAGAUCCGAUAUGACGAGGAAUCUUGAAAAUUUUUGCGAACUAAACAAGGCCUGAAAACACGCACACGAGGCGUAUAUACCAAAAAAAAAUGUGACAACAUCACGUUCCGUCAUAUGAUUGCACAAGAUGCCAAUUUGCACAUGAGAUUUGGGUGAAGACGCCAACCCUUACAAGACUGUUGGAUUGAAUUGGAUUUGACGUAUUUUAUAUUCAGUUAAAUCAAUAUAAAAUCUAAUGUCUCUAAUAAAUGUUCUGUGUUAUAUAUAAUGUAUAAUUAAUUUUGUAGGUAAAUUGGAGGUCGGCUCGACUUGUAUGCAUAGUUUUCGUUUGGGGGUCGGCUCGACUUGUAGGGAAAUUGCCCACAUGUUGAAGUAUUUUUUUUUUCAAUUUAAUACAUUAAACAUAUACGAACUUCUAAUGAUUUUCAUUCACGAGAUUUUAGGAGUACUCGUACGUAUCUACUCUUACUGAGUGAUCGAAAUGGAUUGGCUAGUUCCAUAUUCCAACGCAAGUUCACAUGAUUAAUGAUUAUUUGGUGAUUCUAGCAUGGAACUGAGCUAUAGUGUAUUAUGUUCGUCUAACUAUAUAUAUAAAGAUAUAAACUUAUGAUAUCAAAUAAGUAUAGUUAGACUUUUCACAAAUACUUAUUUGGUGAAAUAAAUUUGUUAAUAUUUUUAUCUAUAUAAUUGGUCAAACUUUAGAUAUCAUAACAAAGAAUACAUCUAGAAUUGCGUCCUUUUAGGUUAGAGGUAAUACACAGAAUCUUAGCAAAUGAUUGUGUUGGCCAAAAAUAAUGAUGUUCACAUAUUUACUAGUUGUAAAUUGUUGUUUCUUAAAUCUUGUGUUGAGCUAGUACUCCGUAUAUUUAUAUCCCUGUAUAUCUAUAUUUUUGUAUAUAUAUAUCUAUAUAUAUCUAUCUCUAUUUCUAUCUCUAUCUCUACCUAUAUCACUAUAUAUAUCUAUAUUUAUAUCCAUAUAUCUAUAUCUAUCUAUAUCUCAUAAUCAUAAACCCAACUAGAAUUCUUCUCGACAUGCAAGCCAUCCACGCAAACCCCACUAGAAUUCUAUCUCGAUAUGCAAGCCUUCCACAUCACCAACCCACUAGCGCAUAUAAUUAUGACACUUGUUUAUUCAUGCAGGAUCACGUCAAUAAGCCACAUCAUCCACUAAUUAACACAUAUUUAUUUGUCCACGUCAGCAUACCAAACUAUCCACUAACAGUAACACUAUCAGAUCCUUGGUGGCCAACAAUUUCCACUUGAGUGGCAAAAUUUAACCCCAAGGAAUAUAUCAUUACCUUGAGGCUGUAGGAAACCUCCAAGUUGAGUGCUAGUCUAAACCACCAAGGUAAUUUCACAUUUCCCUAAGUGCUAGUGUAUACCACCUAGGUAAUUCAUCCUUAAAGGUGUUUGGUCCUCAAAUAUAUUCAGUUUUCUAGUUGAGUAAAAUUCAUUCACGAUUCAUGGAGCAACACGUAGUAUCAUCGGUUCCUAAUGUGCAUCAUCGCACUCGCACAGGAGUACAACACUGUGAGUUUCCGAAGAUGAGACUAUUUAAAAUCAUAAAAGAAUUAAUUAACAGCAUACCGGCUAUCAUAAUGUUAGACCAUGUUUGCAUUCAUUAUCUACUAAUAGUUAGUUAGUUAAUAGCUCAUUAUUAAUAUUAGUUGGCUAACUAUUAGCCAACUAACAGUUAUUAGCAGGGGUUUCUAUUAUUUCUCCACCUAUUAGCCGUUAUUGUCUAAUUUGAUUUAACUAGUAAGAUAGUUGUUAUCUAGAGACCCGGCUAACAAUUAGCUAGUCUAUUAUUUAGGCCUUGUUUAGUUUUUAAAAAAAUUUGCAAAAUUUUUCAGAUUCCCCGUCACAUCGAAUCUUUAGAUGCAUGCAUAGAGUAUUAAAUAUAGACAAAAAUAAAAACUAAUUGCACAGUUUGGUACGAGACAAAUCUUUUAAACCUAGUUAGUCUAUGAUUGGACAAUAUUUGUCAAAUACAAACGAAAGUGCUACAGUGUCAAUUUCCCAAAUUUUUUUAACCAUAUAACUACUGUCCAAACCGGGUCAUGAUAGCUGCCAAAGAAGCCGUUACUUUCUAAAAUAGUGCACGCAUGACCUGAUGACCCGAAGGCCGAAGCCUCCCUCUAUUCCUCCCAUGAUUUGCUCCAGGGCCAUGUGACCCCUACCAAAGCAAAGUCGAUCGGGUGCAACGGCCGUUGAUGGCGAUCGCGGCCCACCAUGCGUUCCUUCGAUUCAUUUCAUUCCUGCCUAUAAAUACCACUGCAAGGCUUGCUCUUCCUCGACCAUCGAGACACACACAACUUCUCCUGUCUGCCUACCGAUAGCUCUAAUAGCUGCCCUCUCAAGUACUAGCUACACGAUGGCCACCUGCUCCUCCACAGUAGUUGCACUUGGUGCACUUCUCUUCUCGCUCCUUGCAACGUGUGGCUCAUGCGCUAGACCAGUGAGCUUUAACGCCUCCGACUUCACCGCCGAUCCCGACUGGGAGGCUGCCAGGGCAACCUGGUACGGUGCGCCCACCGGCGCCGGCCCUGAUGACGACGGUACGUAUACAUGAACGCCGCCGCCGGUGCAUGCAUGGUCUCAUUGUGUGUGCAUGCACUGCAUAUAGCGUUGUUUUGAACCGAGUCUGAACUACAGUGCGCCGCCGCCGUUCUGCAUGCAGGUGGCGCCUGUGGAUUCAAGAACGUGAACCUGCCGCCGUUCUCGGCAAUGACAUCGUGCGGCAACGAGCCCUUGUUCAAGGACGGCAAGGGCUGCGGCUCCUGCUACCAGGUACACUCCUACGUAGCUAGAUUGGUUGGUCAGACAAAGAUCCUUUAAUUUGGUGCCUGCCUUAAUGGAAACGAAAAGCUGAAGGCUGAAGCAUAGUUUUGACUUUCGACUAACCAACUCCGUUUUACUUUCUUUUUUUUCCAGAUACGAUGCCAAAACAACGAUGCCUGCUCCGGCAACCCUGAGACGGUGAUCAUCACUGACAUGAACUACUACCCCGUGUCCAAGUAUCACUUCGACCUCAGCGGCACGGCGUUCGGCGCCAUGGCCAAGCCCGGCCGCAGCGACGAGCUCCGCCACGCCGGCAUCAUCGACAUCCAGUUCAAGAGGUGGGUAACACGCAACGCUCGUUGCACAGAAUCAACACGCACAGUCGACCGGCUGAUGAUCAGCUGGAGGCCCUACACCAACAGAAUCAUAUCUCGAGACCGUCUAGCUAAUACUUAAUUUUGCCGUGGAGCCCUUGUACUUUUGCUCAACAAACUCUAACGAUAACGACCGGUUGAUUUUUAUUUUUUAUUUUUCUGACGGGCCCCAUGUAGAUUCAAUUCGCACAAAUAUUAGUAGUACUUCCGCUUUACAAUUUGGCGCGUCUGCGUGCGGAUGUGUCUGCCUGUGGACAAAGUGUUCUGAAGCUCUUGCCUAAUCCAAGCAUAUCACAUGGCUUGUUCCUGUGUCUGUAGGGUGCCCUGCAACUACCCCGGGCAGAAGGUGACGUUCCACGUGGAGGAGGGCUCCAACCCCGUCUACUUCGCGGUGCUCGUCGAAUUCGAAGACGGCGACGGCGACGUGGUGCAGGUGGACCUCAUGGAGGCCAACUCCGGGUCGUGGACGCCGAUGCGCGAGUCCUGGGGAUCCAUCUGGAGGCUGGACUCCGGCCACCGCCUCACCGCGCCGUUCUCCCUGCGCAUCACCAACGAGUCCGGCAAGACGCUGGUGGCGAACCAAGUCAUCCCGGCCAACUGGGUGCCCAACACCUACUACCGUUCCAUCGUCCAGUAUUAGCAAUAUAUACCCUGCUGCGCACAAUAAUAAUUCUGUGUCAUUGUGGUUGAUUAGUAGUUUGGUACUAGUAUUGUAUUGCUGCAUGGACUGAUGAGCUACUGAUGAGGUCGCCUCAGUCAGUUACUAGUAAGGGUGUUGGUGGUGCGUGGCUUCUUUAAUUCAGGGAUUUGAAGACUGGGGAAAUGGAGGAAGCAAAGUUAAUUUGCAAAUGCUUUCCCGCCCAUUGUCAAUGCAUGUACCAGUGCGAUUAAGAUUAUAAUUAUUAAUCGUAUUUUGUGCCAUAUUGCGUCUCUGCUUCGUUCGGUAUCUCCUUUUGUUUCAGUUACUGACAAAACCAAAACCCAUCAUGCGGAGACAGUCCAUACGUUACCUUUGAUUCCUAGACCUUGGAUUAUUUAUUUUAUUCAUUUUCUGAUUCCUACACCUCCCAUUAUUUAUUCUCAUUCCUUUGUUGCCUAUGGUGAGAGUGUUUAUUAGCCCUCCUGGAGCCUAAACUGCAAUGAGAAUUGGUUGUGCAUGCAAACCUCUUGCAGAGCCAAAGUAGAAAAGUUUCCUUUACCUAAAAAACUCCUACUAUUAUUCAGUCUGCAUUUGCCAAGGAUGCACUACACGAACCUGAUCCUGACUUGCUAACAAAGGGUACGAAUCGAGAAUAUAAAAUGUGUCGUGCGACUUCAGAAUAAACUGAUUGGGAUUUGGAGGACAGAACAAGGCAGCGUUUUAGUACAAAUCGCUGGUUCCAGGGCUGACUUAUUAGCAUAGACAACACCUUUUUUCUGGACUGAAAACUGAUUGCAGUUGCAGCGACAAUGCGAGCACUAUCAAUGCACAGCGAAGUUUGUUUUUCUUUCACGCUGCCUUUUCUUCUGACGAUGGCACUCCAUUCCCGUCGAUUUUGGCAAUCCUGAAAAGGAACAUCAUCAUGAUUCCUGCAACGGACAAAUCUCACCAGUGCUUAAUUACAAUCAGUGUAGUGGUCCGUUGGUUCAACGAAAAGCAUAUGCUAAUUAAUCCUCCAACGCAAGUCCCUUUCCGUCCAAAGCACUUCAAUUUCCCUCGUAACUAAGGUUAUCUAAUCCAUAUAGGAUCGGAGUAUAAUUAACCCUGUGACACAAUGAUUUCGGCUACUGUGAGAGCCAGUCGGCAAAGUCACCGCUUAUAUAUUAGGGCCUUGUUUACUUCCCAGAAAAUUUUACAAAAUUUUUCACAUUCUACGUCACAUCGAAUCUUUAGACGUAUGCAUAGAGUAUUAAAUAUAAACGAAAAUAAAAACUAAUUGCACAGUUUGGUCGAAAUUGACGAGACGAAUCUUUUGAGUCUAGUUAGUCCAUGAUUGGACAAUAUUUAUCAAAUACAAACGAAAGUGCUACAGUGUCUAUUUCCUAAAAAUUUUCGGAACUAAACAAGGCCUAGAUAACUUAAAGUGGCAAGAACUGGAUUCUUGCCGUAAUUACUGGCGUCAAACCACCGUCCCUGCUCCAGUCACUUCCAAUUGACCACCGCACCAAAUUACGGGAAGCUGCAGGUGUGUAGCCCUUGAACAGUUGAACUAGCUAGCAGCGGGGUGUUCGACAAGGUCUUCACACGCACCCGUUUGCCACGGCUCCGGCUUCAGCUCCUAUAGCGAAGCCAUUGCAAGAGCAGAGGUAUCCAUACUUAGGUCACACAAAAAUUAAAAAAAGGAUAAAAGUUAAAUUUUUAUCAUAUUUAUACUGUUAUUUCACAAAAUCUUACACUCAUAAAAUAAUUACGCACUCUUCACAUAUUUCCUCUAACUAUAUGUGUGGCUAAAUAGUGUGUGCAGUGUGCCAAAACGGCUCCCCUGAGAAAGCACAGAGAAGCCAGAGUUACUAAGAAGCCGAAGCGUGCGACUUCUCUCGGCAACUCUCACAAAUUUGGUGCAAACUAUAACAAAAUCGCCGCUAGAGCGUUUUAGCUUCAGCUCCACCAAAUAUCAACUAUACUUGUUAAUACCAUUAAUAUUAUUUUUUAUACAAAUUUAGUUAACUUUGAGAUAGUUUGACUUAAUACAAGUAUCGGUGUCUGGACUCGGAGUUCAGACACUAACAAGUAACAAGUCUGUGUGCCCUCCUAGACCCGAAUGGUGAUGCAAGAGAACACAGGGAAUUUAUACUGGUUCGGACCUCAAAUGCCCUACGUCCAGUGAGAGGUUCGGGUCUGUAUUGCUUUGCACCCGAAAGUGCUUGUAGUAGGGGUGUACAAGCUAGUUGCGAGAGAGGGCUAAGUCCCAGGUCUCGGCUUUGGGAAGUGUCGGUGUUUUCCCCCACGGGAGGUCACACCAACGAGUAAAUUUGUAUGCGUGCUCCCUUUCCCAGAUGGUGAUGCAAGAAGACACAAAGAUUUAUCCUGGUUCGGGCAAGAGAAGGCCCUACGUCCAGCGGGGGAGGGAAGUCUGUAUUAUCUUGCACCUAAGUGCUUGUACAGGGGUGAAUACAAGCGUGGUGUGGGGUGUGUGAGCUCUACUGCGUAUGAUGUUGCCCUGCGUUCUAUUCCUGAGUCCCUCCUUUUAUAGCUUCAAGGAGAGACCCAGGGUACAUGUAUAGGUGUCAGAGUAGGAGUCGAUAGCAGCAUGGAGCGCUGACCUACUCGAGGCUUCCGUACCGGCAUGGCCUCGAGCCGUCCCGUCUUGAUAGCCUGGUGAUGAUUACGCGUGCCCCUGCAUUCUGCUCUGCGCGCCGUCUCGUGUUGGUUCAACGGUCGCACGCUUGUACGGUAUGGCGGCAGACCCGGCGGGGUGGUUGUGGUGUUAUCAGUCGACGCCCAACUCGUCUCCAGGAUGGAACCCUGUUCGGUCGAGGGUCGGACGCCGUGUAAUGUGCCGAUAUCCGGAGCGCUGACUUGGGGUGUCUCGAGGGGGUCCCGAUUAGACGUCCCAUCCUCUUUUCCCGCGUCCUGACACGCCCUGGGUCGUUUGGUGGGGAAGGCUGCAAAAAGAACGAUGGGACGGAUGCCUGUUCCCUAUCACGCCUCCCGUAACCUGUGUGUUAGGUGGGGAAGCGUCAGGCGCAUUUCAUGUCCCGGCUCGCGUGCGCGCGUCAGGCGGCGGGCGGCGUCCUUGCGCUCGACGCCUCCCGGUUCGUGUGAGCCCGUUUCCGUAUUCGACGACAGCUAGCGCUCGACCCCUGAUCGAUUCGCUCGACGCUAUUUCCGUCUUCGAGGUUGUGGACGUCGAAGGCUGCGUAUGCGCAUGACCAGAGCUUCGAGUCGAGGGCCUCAUCCUGCGUACGGAUAGUCUUGUUACGCGCAUCGUUGAGGGUACCCCUCAUUGAUACCCUCGACAGGAAGUAAGUGGAGUUGAGUGCACGCUUGAGUGUGAUGAUGAGGAGUGUUGCUUGUGGUCUGUCUGUGUUUGUGAUGGGUGCCCUGCCUCCCAUUUUAUAGCCGCAAGGGGUGGCAGGGUUUUUACAUGUGCAAGACUGUGAAUUAUCUCUGGUGUGUGUUGAAGUGACAGUGCAGACCCUAUGGAGAUUGGCCACCUCGUCCUUGGGUUAUGGCUGACGGCGUGGUCAUUCUAGUGGAGGGUCGCCGAGCCCUAUUUGAGUCGUGGAGGUCGGGUCGGAGGCACUGCAGCAUGUCCUGCAAUAGUAAAAUAGUAACAGGCAAAGCAUGGUCACAAUGGUAGGGAUUAAUCUUCCCCAUACCUCACUUUUACAGACAAUACCUCAUAGUGAAAGAAGGAAGGCUCCACAGUGACAGGAGUUGUUGAAAUAGUAGCCGACAUGCCCUGCUGUAGCGUGGGGGCAUGGCGUGCGUCACAUCGAGGGUAUGGCCAUCGUGUGCUGGAAGUCUGGUUCCGAGGCCGAGGCUCAGGUGAGACGCUGAUUGCGCUCGAGGCUUGUGCUUUGGUCAAGACGGGGAUUGCGCCCGAGACGCGGAGCUCGGGCGAGACGGAGUCCGUGCUCGAGGCCUGAGGGGUCGGGCGAGACGGGGUCUGCGCCCGAGGCCAAAGGGGGUCGGCGAGACGGAGUCUACGCCCGAGGCCAGAGGGAUCGGGCAUUCCUCUUACUCUUUUUUGCCGCUUUUUAUCCUCUUAAUUUGGGUAUCCUAUUUUAUGGUACCCAACAACAAGCUAAAUUGUCAUUUUUGAGCAAGAGACAGAGGUAAUAGACUAAGGUCAUGUUUGAAUGAACUAGGACUAGUGAUUAACUGACUAGUGAUUAGCCCAGUUAUGUUGUUUGGAUCCAAGGCUAAUAAGUACGGCCCAUUUGGCAUGGCUCAACUUUAUUAGUGAAGCUGUUUUUUGGGGCUUUAGCUCCAUAAACAGCUCUAUCGGUGGAGCUGAAGCCAUUUUGGUAAAUUGUUUAGCAAAAAAGUUUUUUUUUCUUAAAAUGUGCUCUCACAGAAAGCCGCGUAGGAUGAGGUAAAGCCGAGAGAAACCACUAUUGUUGGCUCCUUCACACCUUAAAGCUCUGCGAGAGCACAUUUUUAGAGUCUUUAUUGGUGGAGUCAUUCAAUUUUACUUUAUUUGGUACAAAAUGGCUUCAAACGGCUCCUGAAGCCACUGAAGAAGCCAUGCCAAACAGGCCAUAGUAGCAGUACAUAAUUAGAGAGACAAGAUGCAUGAGAAAACGAGAGCCCUACCUUGGUCUCAAUUAUCGGCUCCUUUUGUUCUCCUCCGAACAGUUGUUUAUCUCCGGAUUCCGGAACGAGACGACGUAACUGACGCCCCCGAUAGCUGCCGCAGGCGCAUGUGCGCGAGAGCGGAUCAGCGGAGCCGGACUGCCGGACGUCGACGGCUCUGCAUGUGAGGGGCGGGCCACCGCGAGGGACAAGGAGAAGGCAACCGCCGCCGGGCCCGGGCUGUCGAGAGAACCGGUGGUGGAAAGGUCACGUCGGCCGAGGGCUCGAGGCGUCGCACUGGAUUCCCGGGGCCCGCGAGAUCGUCGGCCCUCGCCCUCGCACUCGCACACGCACACGCACCCGGGACCCGUUGUUGGGCCGAGAUGAGGCUUCCAGCGCCUCUCGUAGUCUGACGUCUCGCGGUCGCGAGCGGCCCGGUAGCUUGUGGAAGCGAGGCACAGGUCGCCCCUCCCUGCGUGCCGUGGCACGCGACGCCAACCGAUGCCCACGCUACACGUGAGCAACGCCGGGCCUGCGGACAACCAGCGGCUCUCCGCGACAAUCUGGCGGCGCACGUUCUGGGUCAAACUCACGUUUGCCGGGUGCUGCUGCGCUUCGUGUGCCACUUGCUUCCGUUUGGCGAGCCAUCACCAACUCAGCACGCCGAUACGAUCAGAUGAGCUGAGAAGCAAAGGACGACGGUCGACGACGGACGCCAGGCAUAUAUGUCGACGAGGACUCGGGCAUGAAGAAAAAGGAGGCAACAUCACGUUCUCCCAUCCCGGGCAAAUGGCAUGGAGAAGGACGACUACAAGAUCGAAAACCACGUGCGGGAGACUAGGGCCUUGUUCCUACGUGAUUUUUUUUUUGAAUGUAACACUUUUGUUUUUAUUUGAUAAACAUUGUUCAAUCAUAGAGUAACUAAACUUAAAUAAAAAAGAUUCAUCUUGCGAUUUACAAACAAACUGUGCAAUUAGCUUUUGUUCUUAUCUAUAUUUAAUAUUCGAUGUGACGAGAAAUUUUGAAAAAAUUUUAAUUUUUAGGUGGAAUUAAACAAUAGACUCCACACGGAUAGCGAAAAUAAUAGCGCUGGCUGCCAACGGUCAUGGAAGCCCAAAAUGCAGCAAACUUGAACACCUAUACAACAAAUCUCACCAUGCAAGCGGCGCAGGGUUACCUUCAAGCCCACUUGGCCCGCCCCGCAAAAUAAGCCCGCUGGACAACUGCAGGCCAACUUUUUUUUUUGCGGGAUGGGGCAGUCCAGACUGCUAGUGUGUGCGGGCCACUCGUCGAGCCUGCAAAAUCCUGCUAAGGCCGGCUAAGACCACUUGCCCUAGGUAUCCGAGUGUGUGACCCUCCGCCGGCACAUCCUGCUGCGUUCGCUGCUCUCCGCAAUGGCUGCUGCUCCUGUGUCCAUGGCAGAGGUGCCCGCUGUGGUGCCGAUGCCAGUGCCGGAGAAACUUGGCGAUGCCUCCGCCAUCACACCGGCCAAGAAGAAGCUACCGCCCUCCUCCAAUGACAAGAAGAGGAAGGGAAAGGGCCCGCGCGGACCAUGCUUCGGUCGCUGAGGCUCCUGUCGCCAAGAGGAAGGGGAAGGGGCUGCCGCACCCUGUUCCGGCCUCCGAGGUCCCCGUCGCCAACAAGCCGAAGACCGGCGAUGCACCCAUGUCCAUAGCUGAGCUCCCCAGAUCUGGCGUGGCCACCGCCUCCCGUCAUUGCCGGCCCCGAGGUCCACGCUACCCUACUCCAGGACGCAGACGCCGACGACCAAACGCCACAGCAGGUAUGCCAUUGCGCAUUGUCUCAUCGAAUGGCGAGGAUUUGGCCCGGAGUGAUUAGUGCGAUGACCUUGGUACAAAACUGUGCCUCUCACUUGUCGAUUUCUCAGUAGUGGUCGGAGUUUGAUUCUGGCGAUAGGCACUUAUCCUGAAGGGUGUUGUCACUUGGAUCUGGCAUUGUCUAUACAAGAUCCGUACGUAGCUGACAUAGUGCAUCUUGGUCAGUCGUCAACAUAAUGGUUGAUUGUGUUGUCCUUUAGCUCUGGUUGACUUAAGCAAAUAUAUGUGAGGCUAAUUCAGUUUUACUCGGAGGAAAACCCCGUAUUUUGAAUUGAGACAGCAACUGCAAACUAGAGUAGAGACCUGUACAGAUUUAACAAGUAAACAUCUCAGGUGCAACUCCAAUAGUUGACUAUUUGUUUGUUCAAAAUGAUAUAAGUUGCUACAUUUCUGUAUGUGUUUUUGUUUUCCAAUGGCACUAGCAAUCUAGCACUACAAAACAAUCUAGUGUGCACUGCACAGAGCAUGAAAAGAGGCUCAUCAAGGGAGCAAGUAACCUUCUUCUUACAGUAGACCACAUGGCACUUGAACUGCUGCCUGCGUGAGCCGGUGAGGCUAUCUGCAAUCCAAUCCGGCACAUGUUAGGUCGAGUUGGCUGUACUGUAAGAAGGCCUAAAUUUAUCUGCAUAUAUGUUACUUGUAGUCUGCAACAAAUUCGCACCUAAGCUGAACAUUGCCAUCCCUAGCCCUCCAUCUGAAAGUAUUCUUAUGUUAUGCCGUAGCACAAGAUGACUUUCUGCAUCCCAAAUUAACAGCGUAAACUCAGUUCAUAAACUCAUGUUCGUACCUAAAGCUGAUCAGUGCCCAGAUUAGGCCGAUUAGGCUUGCAUACAUGUUGGGAUUUGUCACUAGCUUCUUACCGACCACCGGUAAAAAUUGAAAAGCACCAUAAUAUCUUUGUUGCAUAGUAUUCUCUUUUCAGUAAAUAAAUGAAGGAGAGCUCCAUGUAUUUCAUCAUAUUAUGGUUGCAGCGUACACAGAUAGGACUUAUGCAGCUAGAAUAGUAUUUCACUUUAAAAAAGAACAUUUACUUCUGCCUGAGACAGGCACUGUCAUAUUACUAGCUGCAUGCUCGCUACUUGGUUAUGGUAUAUUUAUAAGAGCACAGUCGCCUGAUAGAACAUUCCAGAAUUGAAUCAUAUAUCAUCUUAGCAUGGUUAUUUUCAUUCAAGCGCACUUAUCAUUUUAAACGCAUGUCUAAAAUAUCACCUUAUGUUGUGGAUCCCAGCAUAAGUAAAUGAAAGGCUGGAGGACAAGGUUUUUACUGCCUGAAUUAUGGGACAAAACUAUACAAUUCAGAGUUUCAGUCAUCAUCACACCAGUAUUAACCGGCGGGCUGUGUGCUGAUCUGGUGGCACUCCACCACAUACCAACUUCGUUGAUUAUUCCUGUAGCACUUGUUAUCCCUUCAACAUGAGAGAUUAUUGUCCCUUUAACACUUGUUGCUAUAGAGCAUGACUACUAUAUUUAAUUAAUUAUAGUGUAUAUUAAUUUUUCCCUCGUGCAGCCCAGCAUGUCAAAUGUGCCAACGGUGACCUCCCCUUUAAUCGCCUCUUUCGGAAUAAAGCGCAAAAGGCCAAUGGUAAAUCAACAGAAGUCUUCUGCAACCAGGCGCUUCAAGCCUCCAAUGGCAAGAAAGGUGAACUCUCCUAUGGUGACGAGGUCCCAAUGAUGAGACUACUAGUGUCUCCAUUGGUUGUGCGGCCAAGGUCACCAUCACUUGGCCUGCAGAGAUCACCGUCACGCAGCCUGCAGAGGUCACCCAGCCCGAGGAGGUCACCAUCAUGUAGCCCAUGGAGGUCGCAGUCACGCAGCCCGUGGAGGUCACCGUCACGCAGCCCGUGGAGGUCAUCGCCACGCAACCCAUGGACAUCGUCGGCACGCAGCCCACGGACAUCGCCAGCACGCAGCCCACAGAGUGGAGCUGCUCAUUCAGGAUCUCAUGACCACAGUAAUUAUGGACCUCAACUUUUUUUUCUAGACUAGAUAGUUCAUCAUGCUAUAUUGCUGCUGCUAAUAAGUAUCAAAAUUGCACUCCUCAGAGAUAUCUUCUCAUGGAUUUUAUCCUCUUAAACAUUACAUGUGUUUAAUAAUGAUAGGUAAACCGAGAAAGUUGAGAUCUGCUAUUUGGAAGGACAUGGAUCCCAUCUAUCAGGAUGGUAAAGUCAUACAAGGCCGAUGUAAACACUGUUACGAGGUAUUUGCUGCUGCCCGUACUUCAGGGACUAGCCAUAUGCGUAGGCAUUUAGAAACUUAUGAACCAAGACUUAAGAUGCAUGAUUUAGUUGAAAAGUUGUAGUCAGUCUCAACUGAGUCAGCUAUUCUCACUAAUUGGAGAUUUGAUCCUAAACUGACUCGAUGUGAGCUUGUUCGUUUGAUUGUACUACAUGAGCUGCCUUUCUCUUUUGUUGAGUAUGAAGGAUUUCGUAGCUAUUCAGCUAGCUUAAAUCCACUUGCAGAAACUGUAUCUAGGACAACAAUUAAGGAAAACAUCUAAGAAGCCUAUAAGAACCACCGAACAACGUUGAAAGAAAUAUUUGAGAACUGUUUCAGAUUCUCAUUGACAGCUGAAAGAGUAAUUUAAUUUAUGUUCAACACAAAUUAUGCCAUAUUCUGUACUUAUUCUUUCUGAGUAAUUUAUGUAUUUUGGCUUCCGGAUGUAAUAAUAUAGUCAUUUUACACUUAUUCCUGCACAUUUAUACGUGUGUAAAGCAGUUCAUUAAUUUGGUAUUAAUUUGGUGCCAUCGCUCUCUUUUUUUUAAAGGAAAUCUUGUGGGUCUAGCUAGGCCUUGCAGGUUUAGCCAUUGGGCCUAGUGGGCUGUUGGGGCCAGCAGGCUUGCAGCAAGCGGACACCCGCAAUGCCUGCAAAUUAUGCUUGCGACAAGAUACGGCAGCAGCCCAUAUUCUCACCCGCAGACCGGCCCACUUGCAUGUUGAAGCAAAUCAGCCCAAAAUAACAUCUUUCUACUCGUUUUCCUUCGCCGCCUGAAGACCCAACGACGCCCAGCAGCCCAUAUUCUCACCCGCAGGCCCAACAAAUGCCAGCUCCCAACGGUCAUGGAAGCUGCACGCAACUCCGCGUUUUCUCCCCAAACCGACGUCCGGCGAAGCCUAGCCUAACUUUGAGUGGCGGCGGCGCGGCGCCUUGGUGGUCGGCAGGCGGCGGGCGGCGGCUACGGCACGGGCGCACUGCAGCAUUGCGCAAGGCCGGCGGGCUCCAGUCUGCUCUAAGGCAGGGGCAGGCCGGCAGCAGCACGCAGCAGCCGGUGCCCGCUGCAGGCGGAAGCACGCAGCCCGCCAGCAGCCGGCAGCAUGCUAUUUUUCUUUGAAUAUAAUAUGGGCUUUUGGUCCAUAUUCUAUUUGAUGAUUAAUUCAAUGGCCCAUAAUAAAUGCUAUAAUAAAAACAGUUUAGUACCAUAUUGAUUGUUGAUCAUGUGUUAACUCAAGUUAAAUAGGUGGCCUUUGAUAGCUCCUAUGAAGAAGUUGAGGAAGGGAAAGAGGGUGCCACACGCGCGCCGCCGCCGAGCCGUGGCGAGGCGAGCGUGUCUUGUCUGGACGUGACUCACACGAGGUCGAGACGUGACGUGGACCUGACCGUUGUCUGGUUAAUGGCAAUUAAUUAUGAUUGAUUGCCAUUAACUCAGACGUUUCCUCUUGGGGCCUAUAUAUUCCAUACACGAGUCACUUUCCUUUCCUUCCUCACUUUCCUUUCCUGCGAGACACAAUCAGUCAUUCCUCAUUCAUUUCCUUCCAGUCGCGUUGCUCUCCAUCUCCAUCCCGAACCUCUUCGCGCACAGAGAUCGAUAGAGCAGACCUCCGGAACCCGACGCCCUGCAUCGAGACACCUGCUCGGGUGUGCGGGUAAUUAGGUUUUUGGGGAGCGUCUUCCGCGACUGCUCGCCGGUGAGAUCUUCUUCUUCCACUCCUGCGGAUCGGGAUCGUCUUCUUCUUGGUGGACGUUCGGGACUACGACUACUUCAUCUUCUUCCUGGUGGACGUUCGUGGGACUGCACUGCGAACAUCUACCUACAUCGACUGAGGUCCACUACUUCAAGCAACACACUAUGUCGACUAGUGUGAAUGGAGCCGCCGGUGCCUUCGGCACUGGUCCCUCCUCGGGGUACAAUCUUAAACGAUUGUUUUUCAUUUUCAGUAUGUCUGCUGUAGUUGCAGUAGUUUUUGCAAUGUUUAUCUCUAAUCUGAGUAGUGAUAAAAUUACACACGUGCAUAUAUAUGCCACCACUGUAUUAUACGUAAUUUUCUGGAUUAAAUCAAACAUUAAAAUGUCUAAUUUUCUAACACAUGCACCGUGGCUGCACGGCACCGGCCCGCGGCAGGUUUCGAAUUUCAUAUUCAAUUUGUUAGGCAUAACAAUUUGUCCCUAAAUUACUUAGUCUAGUCUCUUGAUUUCAUUUUAGGUCCCAAGUAUGAAGAGAGAAAAUAGUGGUACACUGGUACUAUAGAUUUGAGAACUUUCUUGCAAAGGGAAGAAGCAGUCACAAAAUGAGUUUGAGCAAGAGGGAGUUAUAUGCUCAGUUUAUGCCAAAAUUCUUGAAUAUAUCAAAUCAUAGUCAAUUAUGUGUUAUAUAUUUCUUAUAUAUACUAUGUGGCAUUAUAUAUACAUGUCAAAUAUUUGCCUUUUGGUUUGGUUUACAUUUUGAAUACCCAGCUACAAAAUCCUGUGCCCGCUACUGAUAAAUACCACUGCAAGUGCAAGGUUGCUCUUCCUCGACCAUCGAGACACACAGAACUUCUCCUGCAUGCCUACUAAUAGCUCUAAUAGCUCAUAUAGCUGCCCUCUCAAGUACUAUGAUGGGCUGAUGGCCACCUUGUCCUCCACAGUAGUUGCACUUGCACUUGGUGCACUUCUCUUCUUGCUCCUUGCAACGUGUGGCUCAUGCGCGAUACCGGCGAGCUUUAACGUCUCUGACUUCACCGCCGAUCCCAACUGGGAGGCUGCCAGGGCCACCUGGUACGGUGCACCCACCGGUGCCGGCCCUGAUGACAACGGUACGUAUACAUGAUCACGCCGGUGCAUACAUGCAUGGUCUCAUUGUGCUUGCAGUGCAUAGCGUUUUUUUGAACCGAGUCCGUCUGAACUACAGUGCGCCGCCGUUCUGCAUGCAGGUGGUGCCUGUGGAUUCAAGAACGUGAACCUGCCGCCGUUCUCGGCAAUGACAUCGUGCGGCAACGAGCCCCUGUUCAAGGACGGCAAGGGCUGCGGCUCCUGCUACCAGGUACUCUACUUUGCUAGAUUGAUUGGUCAGACAAAGAUCCUUUAAUUUGGUGCCUGCCUUAAUGGAAACGGAAAGCUCGAGCAUACUUUUGACUUUUGCGCAAUUCCGUUUAUUUUCUUUCCCAGAUACGAUGCCAACAGCACCCUGCCUGCUCGGGCAACCCAGAGACGGUGAUCAUCACUGACAUGAACUACUACCCCGUGGCCAAGUACCACUUCGACCUCAGCGGCACGGCGUUCGGCGCCAUGGCCAAGCCCGGCCGCAACGACGAGCUCCGCCACGCUGGCAUCAUCGACAUCCAGUUCAAGAGGUGGGUAACACGCACUUUACCGCUCCUUGCAUAGAACCACCACAGUCGACCGGCUGAGAUCAGCUGGGGGCCCUACACACCAACAGAAUCAUAUUUGGAGACCUUCUAGCUAGAUACUUUACUUGCCGUGGAGCCCUUGUACUUUGCUCAACCGAAGUCUAACGAGAACGACCGGUUUAACUGGGCCCCAUGUAGAUUCAGUUCGCACCAUAUUAAUAAAAACUUCCUCUUUACAAUUUGGCGUUUGCGUGCGUGCCUGCCUGUGGACAACAUUAGUAAUACUUGUUCUGAAGCUCUUGCCUAAUCCAAGCAUAUCACAUAGUUUCCUCCUCUGUAGGGUGCCCUGCUACUACCCCGGGCAGAAGGUGACUUUCCACGUCGAGGUGGGCUCCAACCCCGUCUACUUCGCCGUGCUCGUCGAGUUCGAGGACGGCGACGGCGACGUGGUGCAGGUGGACCUCAUGGAGGCGAACUCUGGGUCGUGGACACCGAUGCGCGAGUCCUGGGGAUCCAUCUGGAGGCUGGACUCUGACCACCGCCUCACCGCGCCGUUCUCCCUGCGCAUUACCAACGAGUCCGGCAAGACGCUGGUGGCUAACCAAGUCAUCCCGGCCAACUGGACGCCCAACACCUACUACCGUUCCAUGGUCCAGUAUAAUUGGCUCUCUGCUGCUGCGCACCACAAUAAUUCUGUGUCAUCGCACCACAAUAAUUCUGUGUCAUUGUGGUUGAUUAGUUUGGUACUAGUAUCGUAUUGCUGCAUGGGACCGAGCCAUUGAGGUGCCUCAGUCAGUUACAACGCAUAUACCAGUGCGAUUAAGAUUGUAAAUUAUUAACAGUAUUUUGUGUGACAUAUUAAGUUUCUCAUUUGUGUUUCAGGCGGCAUGGUUAUGCAGCCGACUUAAAUCAACUUUUUUUGUGACAUAUUAAGUUUCUCAUUUGUGAUUCAGGCGGCAUGGUUAGGGCCAUACGUGAAUUAUCUCAGUUCCUGACAAAAUCAGAACCCAUCACGCCAAGUCCAUACGUUACCUUUGAUUCUUUCCUAGACCUUUGAUUAUUUAUUUGAUUCAUUUUCUGAUUCCAAUACCUCCCAUUAUUUAUUCCUAUUCCUUUGUUGCUUAUGGUGAUGAGUGUUUAUCAGCCAGAGGCUGGAGCCUAAACUGCAAUGAAAAUUGGUUGUGCAUGCAAAGCUCUUGCAGAGGCCAAAGUAGAAAAGUUUCCUUUACCUAAAAAAUUCCUACUAUUAUUCAGUAGUCUGCAUUUGUCAAGGAUGCACUACACGAACCUGAUCCUAACUUGCUAACAAGGGUAGGAAUCGAGAGAGAAAAAAUGCCUUGUGUGUGACAUCAGAAUGAACUGAUUAAGAUUUGGAGGACAAAACAAGGGCAGCGGUUUUAGUACAAAUCACCGGUUCAAGAGCUGACUGAUUAGCAUAUAUAGGCCUUGUUCAGUUCCGAAAAGAUUUCGGAUUUCGAUAUUGUAGCACUUUCGUUUGUUUGUGACAAAUAUUAUCCAAUUAUAGACUAACUAGGAUCAAAAGAUUCAUCUUACAGCUAAACUGUGUAAUUAGUUUUUAUUUUCGUCUAUAUUUAAUGCUUCAUGCAUGUGCCGCAAGAUUCGAUAUGACGAGGAAUCUUGAAAACUUUUUGUUUUUUGGUGAACUAAACAAGGCCAUAGACAACGUUUCUCUGGACUGUAAACUGAUUGCAGCGACAAUGCGAGCACUAUCAAUGCACAGCGAAGUUUGUUUUUCUUUCACGCUGCCUUUUCUUCUUACGAUGGCACUCCAUUCCCGUGGAUUUUGGCAAUCCUUAAAAGGAACAUCAUCAUAAUUCCUGCAACUGACAAAAUCUCACCAGUGCUAAUUCCAAUCAGCGGUCCGUUGGUUCAACGGAAAGCAUAUGCUAAUCCUCCAACGCAAGUCCCUUUCUGUCCAAAGCACUUUAAUUUCCCUCAUAACUAAGGUUAUCUAUAUAGGAGAGCCAGGCGGCAAAGUCACCACUCCUAUCAUCUCUAACAGUUUGACAAAUGAAUUCUCAACCAUAUUUUUUUAGCAAAAUAAGAAAAAAAUUUCUCCAAUAGUUUGGCAUCCCAAUUCUCAUCUUUUCUAAGUUGGCAUAUCUCCCUGUCCAGCGCGCAAAUAUGCGUAUGGAUUUCAUGCUUGACAUCGGUCUUUUUCUUCAUGCUUAGCGGGGCUCUUCGUUCACUUAGCGGAGCUCUUCGUUUCAUUAGCGGGUUUUUGGAAUUUUGGAAACGAAAUUUGCCAAAGUAUUGGAGAUGAAAUUUUUUUCACCCUAUAUUAUUUUUAGUAGUUGGCAAAUAAGAAGAUUUAAGAAACAAAUUUUGCCAAACAGAUACAAAUGCUUAGAUAACUUCAAGCGGCAAGAACUGGAUUCUUGCCGUAAUUACUGGCGUCAAACCGUCCCGGCUCCAGUCACUUCCAAUGACCGCACCAAAUUACGGGAAGCUGCCGGUGUAGCCCAGCCCUUAGCUAGCAGCGGGUGUUCGACAAGGUCGUUCGGGCCGGCCUGAAAAAAAGUCUGAUUAUUUUGGACCGAAAAACUCCCAUCUAUGAUUGUUUCAUUGGAUAUGUUAGGUCUAAUUUUUUGGGCUGGCUUGGGUUGGGUGUGCGCCGAGCAAAAAACAAAAUUUUGGCUUGAAAUCAGGCCGAGAAAUUUUUUCUGGGCAACGAAAUAUGUGUCCAGCCCUAUUAAGCAUGAGUGUAUUUGGUUCGUGUCCUCUACAAGCCUGGCUAGUAAAACUAAGCCUGGCUAGCCCAAGCCUGUCUUUACCAAGCCAGAAUGGACUUGUUUGGUUUCAUGUAUCAACUAAGCCUGGUCAACAACUACAUGUGUUUGGUUGUCUGAUUUGCACUACAUACAAUUACCUCUUCUCUGUGCUGGUGAGCUCACCCCCUCUUAGACCAAGCGUGUUCUCGUCGAGUUUAGCCAUGGGGUUGCGACGGAAUGGUGACUGCUCAGCGCGUGACCCUUCUCCCUGUCCGGGACCGAGACGGAAUGGCGACCCUUCUCCCUGUCAGGGACUGAGACCAUCUUGCCUGGCUGCUGCCUCACUCGUCGGUCCCGGAGCUCCCCGCGGUGGGGACGACAUCCGCCCACCGCCCCGGCGACUGGCUAAUACUCUGGCACCGGCUCCCGCCGCCAGUGCGGCCAUCGUGGCUCGACGAGCGCUUCCACUCCGACGUCCUCCGACGCGACGAGGCAUCCACCUCCUCCUUGGUGCCGACGCGGACGAGCUCCGGCCCACGGCAACGGGCCUCGCCUCCUCCUCCGGCGCCGCCCUCUUCACCUCCGCCUCCUCGGGCCUGUCCUUCGCGGCAGCCUCGACCUCGGCGGCUGCCAUGGAUUUGCGAGUGGCCGCGCUUCCGCUCCGACGUCCUCCGGCGCGGGGAGGGCUUGACCACCGCGGCCCCCUCCCUGCCCCAAUCGCACUCGUCGGCGUCCUCCGACGCGACGAGGCAUCCACCUCCUCCUUGGUGCCGACGUGGAUGAGCUCCGGCUGAGGCGCCCGCACACGGAAAUGGGCCUCGCCUCCUCCUCCAACGCCGCCUUCUUCACCUCUGCCUCCUCGGGCCCGCCCUUCGCGGCGGCCUCGACCUCAGCGGCUGCCUUGGAUUUGCGAGUGGAACGGGUUGAAAGGUCCUAAUAUGGCUAGAGGGGGGGUGAAUAGCCUAUUUAAAAAAAAAAUUCUACAAACCCACUAGAGCAAGAGGUUAGUAAAUAACAAAGCGAAGCUUUUUGCUCUAGCUCUAAUGAGGUGUUUGCAAGCCACCUAUCCAACAAUUCUAGUUGAUAUAAUCACUAGGCACACAAAAGCUAUGUCACUACUUACACUAGAAAGCUACCUAAAGUUUCUAUACAAGUAAGUAAGCUACUCUAGUUUGCGGGAAUGUAAAAGAGAUGGUUUGAACUUUAUACCGCCGCGUAGGGGGGGAUGAACCAAUCAAUAAUAUGAAGUCCAAUCACCGGGAGAAAUCCAAUGAACAAUCACAAUGAAGACACACAAUUUUUCUCCCGAGGUUCACGUGCUUGCCGGCACGCUACGUCCCCGUUGUGUCGACCAACACUUGGUGGUUCGGUGGCUAAGAGGUGUAGCACGAACCUCGUCCUCACUAGGACACCACAAGAACCUACCCACAAGUGAGGUAACUCAAUGACACGAGCAAUCCACUAGAGUUACCUUUCGGCUCUCAGCCGGGGAAGGUACAAGACCCCUCACAAUCACCGGGAGAUGGCCACGAACAAUCACCAACUCGUGCCAAUCCUCCUCCGCUGCUCCAAGCCGUCUAGGUGGCGGCAACCACCAAGAGUAACAAGAAAACCGCAGCUAGAACGAUCCCCAAGUGCCACUAGAUGCAAUCACUCAAGCAAAUGCACUUGGAAUCACUCCCAAUCUCACAAAGAUGUAUAAUCUAUGAAGGAGAUGAGUGGGAGGUGUUUGCUUAGGCUCACAAGGAUGUCAAGUAUGUUAGAAUGCCAAGAGUAUAAGCCCCAAGCCAGCCAAACACGUAUUUAUAGCCCCUCAAACAAAUAGAGCCGUUGGCUCUUUCACUGGGCAAACUGCGGGGUCACCGGACGCUCUUAAAGGGGCACCGGACGCUCAACACCAGCGUCCGGUGCUCCAACGUCAGCCACGUGUCACGCUCGUGUCAGAAUCUAACGGUCACCUGCAGUGCACCGGACGCUGAGCAAGUGAGCACCGGACAGUCCGGUGCACACCGGACUCAUGCGCAGAGAGCUUCGCAAACUUGCAGGAUCACCGGACGCAAGCCACCGGACGCACCCUCAGCGUCCGGUGCUCACCGGACCCACGCGCAGAGAGGGUCGCAAAACGCUCGCACACCGGACGCUAAUCACCGGACACUCAAGCCAGCGUCCGGUGCCUAUCGUCCGGUGCCUUACCCUAGCUGGGCCAGGCACUGUCUGCACCGGACGCUCAGACGCAGCGUCCGGUGCUCCAGAAGCCAGCGUCCGGUGAGUGUUUUCUCAGCGAGAAACACUCCCGUGACUUCUCCAAAUUUCCCACCGGCGCAAUAGAAAACAUGCACUUCAUUUUCUCGAAAAGCGCCGAAUCCCGCCUCGCAAGCUCGGCGGGAGGGAGAGAGGAACCCAUCCUCUCUCUACCUUUCAAACUCCACCUCCUUCUCAAAGUGUGCCAACACCACAAAGUGUAAACCAACUUGUGCACGUGUGUUAGCAUUUUCACAACCAUCUUCUUCGAAGGAGUUAAGUUAGCUCACUAGGUUCUAAAUGCAUGCGCAUGAACAAUGACACCUAGUGGCACUUGAUAACCGCUUAGCCAAAGAAUUCCCCUCUUUAUAGUACGGCUAUCUAUCCUAAAUGUGAUCACACCCUCCAUGGUGUCUUGAUCACCAAAACCAAAACCCUAAGCAAUACCUUUGCCUUGAUCUCCAUAGGGUUUUGUUUUUCUCUUUCUUCUUUUCAAAGUUGAGCACUUGAUCAUCUUGUGGUCGUCACCAUCAUCACCAUGAUCAUCACUUGCUCCAUCACUUGGCAUGUACCAACCUCAUUAACUCUACACACACUUAGUAUAGAGGUUAGUAUUAGGGUUUCAUCAAUUAUCCAAAACCAAACUAGGGCUUUCACGGGUGCCGAGGCAGAGAAGGUAGGAAGCGGUGACGAGAACUAGCCAUGAGGCUGGCCAGAGCCUGGCUCAGUUGGGAAGGCCGAAUUGGCCUUUCAAGGCUGGCCAGGCCAACGUCGUACGGCUGGCCCAUCCUGGCCAUGCCCCAGACCCAGAACAAGGAACCAAACAUGCAAAAUCUGGCCCAGAGUAGAUUUGACCACAUCUGGAUGGGAACCAAACACACCCUAUGAUUCGUGGGGCGGACUAAAUCCCAUCAGGCUUGGGCAGGGCCCAUGGGCCAGGUCAGCCCGGACUCAAUUUGCUCAAGCCUACUCCGGCAUCAGCUCCUACAAUGAUGCCAUUGCAAGAGCGGAGGUAUACAUACUUAGGGCCUGAUUGAUUUCCUUGCUUUUAGCUAGCUAAAAUUAUUUUAGCUACUCUUGGGUGACUAUUUUAGCUCCUCUUAGUCAAUGUUUUUGGAACUUUAGCUACUAAAAAGUGACUAAAAUUUAGCAAGGGGAACCAAACAUGGCCUUAGAUCACACAAAAAUUUAGGCCCCAUUUGGUUCCCCUCGCUAAAUUUUAGCUAGCUAAAAUUAUUUUAGCUACUCUUGGUCUUGGGUGACUAAUGGAACUAAACUAUUUUAGCUUCUUUUAGUCAAUGUGUUUGGAACUUUAGCUACUAAAGUGACUAAAGUUUAGCUAGCUAAAUUUUACAAAAGAAAAUAAGUUAUCAUCAUUUCGUACUCUUAUUUCACAAAAUCUUACACUCGUAAAGUAAUUAGGCACUCUUCACGUAUUUGCUCUACCUACAUCCCUGGCUAAACGGUGCGUGUCGAAAUGGCUAGCGUGAAAAAAGAGCAUAGAAGUCAGCCAUUUUUUCUACUAAGAAGCCGGGUGAUUUCUCUCGGCUACUCUUACAAGAAUUUGAUGCAAACUAUAACAAAAUUGCCAGGAGAGUAUUUUUACCAAACAUUUUUCAAAAUAGUAUCAGCUUCACCAAAUAUUCCACAAGAGAAAGGUAGAGACAAAGCCCUGCCGCGAACAGGCCAAUGCGGUGCUGAUAAGUUUUCUUUUUCAGUACUAUGUCCGCCUCAUCAUUUUAGGCCUUAUUUAGACAUAAAAUCUAAAAACUUUUUAAGAUUUCCUAUCACCUCAAAUCUUGUGGCACAAACAUUAAAUAUAGAUAAAAAAUAAUAAUUAAUUGCACAGUUUGCCUGUAAUUUGCGAGACGAAUCUUUUGAACUUAGUCUAUGGUUGAACAAUAAUUACUAAAUACAAAUAAAAGUACUACAGUACUCAAAAACUUUUUGUCCAGGGAAUUAAACAAAGGCCUUAGAUUUGCUUUAGGUAUUAUAAAGAAAAAACAUAAACAUUAGUGACACCAAAUAUGUAUGAUCUAAAAAUAUAUUUUAUGAUAAAUUCAAUUACAGUUGUUUAAUACCAUUACUAUUAGUAUUUUUAUAUAAAAUUAUUUAACUUGAGAUAGUUUGACUUAAUACAAGCUAACAUUUUCUUUUGAUGUUUUAUUUUAACAAAAGAAGAAUUAUAUUAAAAUAUUAUUGGGUACAUCAUUAUGUUACAAGUACUCUGAAAUACAAAACAGUUUUUCAUCUAUAUUGUAUCCACGCUCUUAUAGCUCUAAAUAUCAGUAUCAAUUAUAACAAUUCAUAUAGAUAACUACAUAGGUAAACACUUAGCAAAAGACAGAUGUCCAACGAACCGCUGUCAAUAUCCAUAUGGACGUUGAGUAUAAACUUCUUUUUCGUCUUCCUUCUUCUUCCUUUGUCAUCAAAGAAUAAGAAAACCGGUCUUAAUCUUUCCAACACAAUACAGUAAUAGGCUUUUGAGCUAUGGACGAAAGUAAUGGGCUCUCCGCAACAAUCUGGCGGCGCACGUUCUGGGUCAAGUCAAACUCGACUUUUGCAGCACGUUUCAUGGGUGCUGCUUCGUGCUACUUGCCUCGGCUUGGCGGUGGACGAGUGAGUGAGCCACCGACUGCGCCGUGCAAGUGCCAGUCUGAUCCAGGCAUCCAGCAGUACCGUACAAGUACCACCAGCGCGACGAUCAGAUGAGCCUCAAAGGACGACGGACGCCAGGCAUUAGGCCUUGUUUAAAUACCAAAAGUUUUUGGAUUUCGCUACUGUAGCAUUUUUCGUUUGUUUGUGGUAAAUAUUGUCUAAUCAUGAACUAACUAGGAUCAAAAGAUUCGUCUCGUGAUUUAUAGCUAAACUAUGUAAUUAGUUUUUGUUUUUAUCUAUAUUUAAUAUUUCAUGCAUAUGCCGCAAGAUUCGAUGUGACGAGGAAUCUUGAAAACUUUUUGGUUUUUGGGUGAACUAAACAAGGCCUUAGUUUGUCAUCAAGGACGCAUGAAGGAAAAAAAAAGAGGCAACAUCAUCACGUUCUCCCAUGCUUGCAGUUGCAACCUCAGCACCUUGCCAAUUUGCAAAUGGCAUGGACGGCUACAACUAGUACAAGAUCGAAAAAUCACGUGCAAGUGCAAUCGGUGGGAGACUGCUGCACAGCACGGUACGUGACGUGAGACAACGCCCCGUUCUGCUGGCUUCCGAACUUAUACGCUACGCAUCGUCACGGAUAGCGAAAAUAAUGCAUGGCGCCCACUGCCAUCUCCUUUAAUUUGCAUAUGUAAGGUCACGGCCGUCGUCGUCUCCAUGGCCAAACCUUGAGUGCAAAUCCUCGCCACUGCAACGGGGAUCUUUAAUAAUUCAAUAAAGAUGUAAAAACUAUUCUAGAUCCUUAUUAUCGACCAAGGAUACACUCAUACACAUAGGAGUUAUCUUCAUUGCUAGUACACCAUUAUCUAUUAUGAUAGUUUUGAUCCCUUAUUCAGAGUCGUUUUAGUAAUGAACCUGGCCGGUCCAUCAAAGAUGCUUUGGACCUAGACCCUUCGUCUGUCCAUAUGCAUGGAAGAGAGAGUGGAUGCAGACAGUUUACAGUUGUGUUAGAACGACACUGAAAACGGGACAAGGGAGUAGGAGUUAUCUUUUACUAGAGCUCUAUCCAUCUUUGGUAAAGAUAUCCAUUUCUAGAGCCUUCAAGUGUUUUUUUCUAGAAGGGAAGAAAGAGUUAUAUUAAAACUUAGCACUAUGCUUCCCAAAAUACACAUGAAUAAAUUAAAAUAAAAAAGACAUGAUAUUCUAUUUAAAUCCUCCAUCAUAUUCUUCUCUAGUGGGCUUCGCCCAUGUAGCUGAUCUCCAGUUGAAUAAAAUCCCAUCAAACACUGAACCCAGAGUGCAGUCAUCAUCUAAAUCCAUCGACCAACUCUAAAACCUUGGGAGAUGUUUUAUAAUGGUUGGAAAAAUACCAUGGUACCUCCAGAUACUUUCAUCUUUUUCUAAUUAAACGAGAAAUAUAUUGCAGGGUAUUUUAGUAAUUAAGGAUGUGCCCUUCUAAAAUUAGACAUAGUGUGCCGAUCACCGUAUGCCUAGCCCAAUAUAGACCUACCCUCAACGCAUCCUUCUAUCGCUGACUGGCGGCAUCCUCGGAGACCAAGCACAGCCCUGCUACCAUCGGUCCGCCUACCCGGCUGCCAGCGCCUGCCGUGAUCGUGCCACACCGUCCAUUGUGCUCUGGAGCCCUAGUCGCCCCAUCCCUCUCUAGCAACCACACCGAUGCCACGCUCCGUAGCCACGCCCACGCCCCCACACCCGCUGGGGCUGUGCUCAAUUGUUGUCGCACCGGCUGGGCCGCGCCCGCCCGCCCGCCGUCAUGCUCCAGAGCCGUGGGUCGUGCCAGGCCAUGGCCGCACCUGCCACGAAGAGGCUGCUGGUCGAUAGAGAGGCAACCCUAGGCCUAGCCCAACAACUUUAUCGGUUCAUAUAGAAAAAAAAGACAUAGAAAAUCUAAUUUUUGCCCUUGAAUGAAUGCACUAAAAUGACCAAAUUACUCCUUUUUGAAAAAUAAAUGGAAAAUAAAAAAUAGAUAUGGUCCCACAUAUUUUGAUACCGGCCCCACCAUAAUCUGAUACUAUCUCCACCUAUUUGGUACCUCCAGGUACUUUCAGUUUGAUUCUUCCUAUUUUUUCACCGUUCAAUCUCGGCCAAUUGAUGGUCCAUAUUUUUUUUCCAACCAUUGUAAAAUUUCUCAAACCACCUUGGACAUGCCAUAAAAUUCAAAAAUCUAGAAUAUAACAAAACAUAUAUAAGUUGUUGCAAGAACAUCAGCGAAUGAAUUGUUGGAUAUUGCAUAGGCUACAAUUUUUGCGCCAACCCUUGAUCUAUUAAGUUGGAUACCUAAUUUUCUCUCCGUGGCCAUCGACAAUGAGGAUGACCCAAUUUUCUCACAAGAAGUUCCCAAUAUCACACUCUGCCUUAUGUCGACCACAAAUUGAUCUUUUACCAAUGAAAUCGAUGCCUGCAACGAUGAUCUCAUCAUGGCCAUCAUCGAUGUCAUUGUAGGUAACAAAAUCUAGUGCCACUAGGUAACAAAAUCAUGGCCAUCAUCGAUGUCAUUUCUUUGGCCAAGGUGCAAUAGAGUGCAUGGUCCGAUUUAGGAUAGAUAGUUGUGCUAUUAAGAGGGGAGCUUAAAAGAGUUGACUGUUAUCUAGUGUCACUAGGUUUGAACUAACUUUGCAUAUGCAUAUUGGACCUAGUGACGAGGUGAGGAAGCAAGUGAAAAUGCUUUCAAAAAAGUAAGUCAGUGCGUUGUAUCAAGUUGGAACACAUUUGAAGUCUGUGUAUUUGAAAAGCAUUUGAGAGAACUUUGCAAAUGCAUAUUGAGAGGAGGGAUGUUCUUAGGAUAAAUAAACCACGUAAGCCAUCACUUGAUAGGGAAAUUGAGUCUAUGUAAACCAUCACUUGAUACUUGAUAGGGAAAUUGAGAUUUGAAAUUUGUGCGAAUUGAGCAUGAAUCUUCUUUGAGAAACCCAUACAGGGUUCGAACCCAUGACCUUUGGUGUUGGACAUAUAUCCCCUAGCCACUUCAUCCAUAUGUCACUUGUCUUCUUAUCUUCAUCCAAAUUUAAAUGAGCAUUUAGGGUCCAAAACAAUUCAAAUAAAAAAGUUGACAACUAUAGAGUUGUAUAACUUUUCAAGAUCUACAACUUUGCUUUUGGUUGUUUUGUUCAUCUAAGGUUGCUUUGAGAAUUUUGAAUUUCAAAUGUGAGAAAUUUAAAUGUAAUUGCCUUGUAUAGAUUAUUCAAAAUGAAAAAGUGGUCAACUAUAAAGUUGUAUAACUCUUCGACAUCUAGUCAUCUACAACUUUGAUUUUGAUUGUUUCUUCAUUUGAGAUUGUUUGAAAAAUUCAAAUUCUAUUGUGCUGCUCAAAGGUAGCUUACUCUAUUUCUAGCCACCUUUAAAAAUCAAUUUGUAGAGGUAAGUGAAAAUAGAGUCGCCUUUUAAAAAAAUAAGGGGUAUUUGUAGAGACAGCUGAAUUAUAAAUAUCAUGAAUUUUAUUAAUUUAAAGGUAACACUUGUUUACUAUACAUGGAGUCAUUUGUUAGUUUAUUAUUUGGAUUGUCAUAUGUCACUCAACCACAAAAAGAUCCUGAAGAGGAGGUGCAGAUGACAUUCUCCAGGGGCGGUCGAGAUUAGCACAAGUUGGUCAAGAGGAUGACACUUCAUGUUAAUUUGAACAUUCCCUCACAGCCACCUCCGGCCUAAAACAGGUAAAAUAGCGACUCUCUUUACAAAUAUAUUUCUAAAGACGACUCUUUUCGGGUGGCAUUCUGAGAGAAAAGCCUCGUUGCUGAAUAUUAAUUCUGUAGUAGCGAGAAGACUAGGUGGAGCGUUAUCCUGCACCACUGUGCUCUGUGCUUGCGUCCGGCUGCACAUAGGUCCAAGUUUCCUGCCCGGGCCGUUGUGGCAGCGACACGAUCGACAGUUUCCCCGCGUCACAAAAUAAUAACUGAAUGCUCUCUCGUUAGAUAAACAAUCCCGAUCAAGUACAGAUCGCAGUUGACGAGAUGCAAGUCUCUGAUCUGACACUAAUGUAAUCCACCAAAUCAUAGAAUACAUGGUGGCCGGUAAACUGAACAUGCUCAAUAAUCGAGGUCGAGGGUAAGAUGUUCAAGGCAUCGAUGAGAAAGUCAGACGCGCAGUUGUGUCUCUCUCAUGGUCUACGGUUUACACCAUUCACAUUUGCAUGUGGAAGUUGUAACUACUUAUAUGGUAUUUUCACCAAUAUAUAGAAAACUUAUAUGGUAUUUUCACUACAACCCAAUGAAGUUAGGCCGGCGGCACAUGCUAGUGAGGAAAUGAUUUUCAGGAGAGGUCAAAAGCGGUUUUGAAGAGCGUUUUCUUUGAACUAACACUAAGCCAUCGAUCGCAAAUUAAAAGAUGCAACCUUUUAUUAAUUUGUUAUCAAACCAUGUUUUGUUUCUUGUUCUCUAAGUUGCCCAGCCAAUCAGGAGCGGAUCUAUAGUAGCAGCAUGAGGGUACAAUUGUCCCCCAAAAAUUUCUUGAAAAACAUAUAUAUACCCUUUAAUAACAUAUCUAUAAUACAUUGUUAUAUACAGUUGCUAGUCUACUCACCUCGUAUAACCGUCUCAACACUCUACAUUCAUCUAUUUUAUCAUCAUUUAGUGAUCUAAUUAUGUUAUAUCCAUAUUGAUGAACUAUAUCGUUUUCGUCCAUAGCCCACCGCAGCCAAUAGACCCAGGCCAACUACUGUAUGGAAGCAUACAUUUGAUGCAUGAUUAUUUCCAUGCAUGAUUCAGAGAUUGAUGUCCAGGCCGGUGUCGUAGUCAUCAUCAACCCGAUCGUUGGUUUUCAGUUGCUUGUUGGCGUACGAAUCUCUUGAUUGCUAGCUAGCGCAGCACCCUCAGAUGUCAAUCUAAUUAAUCUAUAGUUAGAUCUAUUCGUCUAGUUUGCAACUUUAAUUUGCAUCCCGAUCCGAAUUCUGGUUAAGCCGCAGCACCGCAGCUCUAGUAGCAGUGUAGGGCCCACUUUCACCGAUUUUGUGGUCCGCUGUCCGCUGAUAACUGCCAGAGAGGUUAGUUGAGAAUCAUUGGCAUUUUGUCAGCCACCGCACCGGCGUACGGUACGAGCUGAGCCCGCGUACUAUCCCUAACCCUGCAUGUGCGCUACUACUACUCUCCAAGAUGUGUGUUUCUUUUGUAAUGGCUGACUGGCUCGCGGACCGAGUACUCCAUACUCCAUUCCAACAUGAUUAGCUCGGUACGGUGGCCAUGUGACCCUAUACCUCUAAACACGGCACGUCCGAUGUGGCGCGACGACUAUUGAUGCCGCCAACUGCUCAAUACUCUAGAUUGUGUGUUUGGUGCUAGCUAGCUUGCCCGCCUAUAAGUACACAGGCGAUCUCGGCCCUUUCCACCAUCAAAACACAAGCAGCUAGCCAGCAAACGCACAUACUACAAGGUUUCUUGUUAGCUUCUGCCGCUGGUACUACAUUGUGUGACGCGAUCGAGCUGAGAUAAUGGCCGCCGCCGGAGCAGCUGCACUUCUUGCCCUCCUCGCCGCGCUUGUUGUCGUCGUCACGCAUUCCGGCGCAAGCGCACUGCCGGCGGUGGUGAACAACCACACCUCCGCCGCCCGCCAACUCCGCGGUCGUUCCGGCGGCUGGCAGAUGGCCAAGGCCACCUGGUACGGCGCGCCCUACGGCGCCGGCCCCGACGACAACGGUACGUACGUACGUAGUAGUGUGUCAGUUUCCGCCAUGCAUCGUCGUCGGUGUGCGCCGCCAAUGCUAGCUGUCGUGCUGACAUUUCGGAUUUUGCCAAUGUGCCGUGGCUGACAUUGUGCUGUCCUUGCACCGACGAUCGGUGUUUCUCUGCAGGCGGCGCGUGCGGGUUCAAGAACACCAACCAGUACCCGUUCAUGUCCAUGACGUCGUGCGGCAACCAGCCCUUGUUCCAGGACGGCCAGGGCUGCGGCGCAUGCUACCAGGUACUACUCCAAUCAACUUGCUGUUUAUAUUACCCGUCCACUUGUCCGCUUCAUUUAAUUCAAAUCGGUCAACUGUAUUAGUAGCUAGCUAGCAGAGUGUAUCUUUUUUCCCCUCGAAUCGAAGUUAAUAGCGACAAUUUUUAAUUUGGUGCGUAUGUAUCAGUGCCCACGCUAGUGGAAUUGUUGAGGUCAAACGGAAGCAUCUUUUCACGUUCUCUUACUUUUGAUCUAAAUAACAAUACAGAUCAGGUGCACCGCUAAAAACAACCCAGCCUGCUCCGGCGAGGUGAAGACGGUGAUGAUCACGGACAUGAACUACUACCCGGUGGCGAGGUACCACUUCGACCUGAGCGGCACGGCGUUCGGGUCCAUGGCGAGGCCGGGGCUCAACGACAAGCUCCGGCACGCGGGCAUCAUCGACAUCCAGUUCAGGAGGGUGGCCUGCAACAACCGGGGGCUCACCGUCAACUUCCACGUGCAGGCCGGCUCCAACCCCAACUACCUGGCGGUGCUGGUGGAGUACGCCAACAAGGCCGGCACCGUGGUGCAGAUGGACGCCAUGGAGGCCAACUCCGGCCACUGGAUGCCCAUGCGCCGCUCCUGGGGGUCCGUCUGGCGGCUCGACUCCUACCGCGCGCUCAGGGGCCCCUUCUCCAUGCGCAUCCGCAGCGAGAACGGCAGGACGCUGGUGGCCAACAAUGUCAUCCCGGCAAACUGGAGGGCCAACACCGACUACCGCUCCUACGUCCAGUUCACUUAAGCGACCACAUAAUUAUUAACCCAUCAUCAUCACUGGUAUAUAUGAUUAAUCAUAUACAAGGUGGUGCUAAGGUUGGUUAUUUAUUUGGGAGUAGUAGAGUGUAUUGUGUGAUUAUUGCAAAUUCUUUUUGGUUUUUGCAAUGGGUUCGGCGAGUUUUUCCGUGUUGUCAUUGUGUGUAUCUGAGGCGCGUCGGAAAUGGAGGAGGCAAAGUGUUAUACAUACAUGUUGUCUCCCGCCUACCGUCCAAACUCCAAUGUUUGUACAACAAGUAGGUACGGUGCAUACAAUGUGUGACCAAAUCAGGGGGGCUAUGUAUGCAUCAAGUCAUGGUCAGCAAAUACAUUUCUGAUUAUUCCAGUAUAUGUGUAUUUUUUUUAAAAAAAAAAUCCAAGGCCAUUACGUCGUCCCAGCUUAUAUUGAAAACUUAUAUGAGUGUACGAUGACUGGGUAUACCAGUUUGACGAUAAUGAUACAUCAAGCGCAGCUAAACGUGUGGAAACAUCAAUUCUACCUCUACUCAACAAUAAUAAAACAUCUAGAGGCCACCCAUUGCAACAAAAAAAUAAAAGGCUAAACUCAGAUGAGAUAAAAGGUUAUCCCCCACCCCCAGGUUUUAAACCAAUAAAAAACUUGACGCAUUUAGAUUUCCUUCACCUCAUCAACAACUCGCAUUACGAAUUUAGGAUCUCCUCCACCAGUGCAGCUUUUUUUAUCCUUCAAGGCCACCCUACAUUGAUUGAUCAUCAUCUUGCCCUGAAAUCGCCUCCCUGGGUACUUGAGCAGCUUGUCCUCCAAAGGUCACAUCGUUCCUCAUCUUCGAGAGCGCCCAUAUCAUACCUCCACAACAAAUAAAGUAAUUUUCCAUUAAGGAUUUCCGUUUUAGAGUCGGUUCCGUUAAGAAAACCACAUCUAAAUAUGUUAUUUUCAAGGACUGUUGGUUAUGUCAACUGUCCCUAGCUAAAAAUGAGUAAUUUUUAGAGGCGGUUCUUUUAAGACAACUACAACUAAAAAUCAAUUUUCAAAGACAGUUAACUAAGUCAACCAUCCUUAAAAAUAGCAGCCGCACAAAUAAAUUCAUAUCUUUUUAAAAUGAAGUCAAAUGAAUACAAAAUUUAUAUCAAAAUUAUAGAGCUUGACGAGAUCUAAAACUUUGUAGACGAUAAAAUUUUUGUUUCAGAGCACUUAUGGUUCCAAAAUUUUAAAUUAAGUCUCAGAGUUUUUCAUUUUAAUUUUUAAAAUGUUUCAAACGACCUUGGAUGGGGAAAUGUCCUAUAUGAAACUCUCAAUGAGAUUUUUAAAACUUUAUAGUUGAAAAUUUUCCCAUUUAAGGUUGUUUAAUAGCCUAAAUAUUGAUUACAAGAUCCAUACGUAUUAGUACAAAUGGAUAGCAAUGUAUAUCUCGACAUAAGUGACUAUGAAUGAACCAUGUAAGGUUACGAGUUUAAAUCCUAAUUCUUGCACUAUAUCAUAAGAUGGUGAAAAUCAAAUUCAAUAAGUGGUUGGUUGGUCUUCUUGGCCUUUAGCCACACUAAAUAUUUUUUCUUAUUUUUAUUAUACUCUAAAUGGUUUUAAAAAUUCUAAAAAUUAGUUUUAGGGAUGGUUGAGUUAAGUCAACCAUCUCUGAAAAUUGAUUUUUAGGAGUGUUUGUCUUAAGAGAACCGUCUCUCAAAAUCACUUAUUUUUACAAUUGGUGGCAUUGUACGGUUUUUAAACCGCUUCUGAAAAUCGAUUUUAACUACCUCUAAAAGUCUUUUUUUACUAGUGAUUAUUACUCUCUAUACAAUCCGGUAGACCAUGCUAGUAUUGUGAUCCGCUUCUAGAUUUGACUUGGAAGGUAUUAUUUCCUAGGUAUUCAUUCCUUAGCUAAUUGCAUAUACAUGGUUAUUCUCUCCUCUUUCCAAUCUAUCAAUCCAUUUGAAGAGAAGACAAAUAUUCAUCUCCCUCACAUCUAUGAAACUAGUCCUACAAAAUCAUUUGGUUUAUCCAAUGCAUCCCACUUAACCAUAUGGUACUUCUUUUUUCCCAUAUCAUUGCCAAAAGAACUGAGAUCUAGCUGAAUGUAAUUGUUGAUAUGGCCCCCUUCAUACAAUUGAUACACACCCAUUGCAUACAUAGACACACUUGACGGGUAUGAUUCAAUUAGUAUCGUCUUCUCUCUUGAAGAUAGAGUGUCGCCUUUCCAGGUUCCCAACAUUUUAAAGAUUUGCUCAUUUACACAAUUUAAUUGGGCCUUAGUAAGUUUAACACAUUGCUCAUUUGGAGCCCCAAGUAUUUGAUAGGUAAUUGGGGAAGAUUUGUUGUUUAGAAGAUUCACCACUCUAGUUUGUUCCUCAACUUCCACUCCCAUCCCACACUUUACUUUUUUCAUAGUUCAUCUGCAUACCUAACAUUGUUUUGUAACACAUCAAAAUUCUAAUGUCAUUGUCUGUUAGUUCCCAAAAAAUUGUAUCAUCGGUGUAUUGAAAAUGUGUGAGACCAAGUGUGAGACCAGACCUGUUAAAUGCCCAUUCCUUUGUGCACUAGACAACAUAACAGAUAUGGCAUCACUGACUAAAUUGAACAAUAGAGGUGAUAAGGAAUCACCCUAUCCUAUUUUAUGGCUUCUAAAGUGGUAGAUGCAGAUUCAUGCAAGAUACUUAUACCUAGAAAACUCAUUUUGGUUCAUUUGACGAUGUUGACAACCAAGCUUGUUGUGGUGACGUUGCAUCUAACCUCUUUAUUGUUCAUUGCACACUCCCUCGCUCGCAUGCUCAACACUACAUGCAUGCUCUACCAUAGAUGUGAACUCCUUAAAAAACAAGAUUAUUUUGUGAUAGAUAUAGUAAUAGUUAACCAAAAACCUUAAGAUCAUAUAAGAGGUCAAAAACACACUAUUAACAAAUAUUUUGUAGGUGAAGGAAAGAAAUCUAGCCUCUAAAAAUUCAUAAUAAACACCAUUGCUUUUUUCUGUGCUGAGAAAAAAGGCAUCUGGACUACCCACUUUUGCACCGACAGUUUCUCCUCCCAUUCUACGCUUUCAUACCUCAUCGAUAGGGCAAAGAAGCAUGCAACCAGGUUCUUUUAAUAGUCACCUAACACAUCAAGUGACCUAUCAACCAUGCCAAAGGUGUUUUGGCCUUCUUCGUUUGUCUCAAUCUUGAAUCAUUGUGUUUUAGUGCUAUAUUGUAGCAACAAGUCACGUUAAUAGGGUCGGGUGGUCUCCUAACCACAUUCAUGGAAGAUGAUCUUUGCACCUACUAUAAUCUUUCUUCCUUGACCAUGCUAUUGAGGAAAGGUCAUUAUACAAACCUAGCCUUGUCUUAUUGUCCUCCUCACACUUAUACUAUUAAUAUAUCUUUGUGGUGUUGAUUAUUUAUUUGUAUCCUUCAUGUUGCAUCUUGUUACGAAUUUAACCUUAUUUGGAUUAGUUGGUAAUAUUUAGAUACUUGAAAAUUUAAUGUCAUAAUCUUAAAAUUGAUUCUAUUUUAAAGUUCCAAAACUACAGAAUACUUCAAAGUGAAAUAGUACAACAAUGUAAUGUGUGACACGCCACCCUCUAGAGGAACAAUUUGCAUACAUGUGUGCACAUUUUAGGAUCAAUUUGUACGUGGGAGUCUUGCAUUUCCUUACUGACGGAUAUAUGCCUAUGUAAUUUACAUCUUCUACUUCUCUAAUCUGUAUAAUGUCAUCAAUAUGUAAUAGAGUAUAAGUCCCACAACCAAACAUUAAAAUGAUGAAAUAAUAUAAAAAUAGGGCAAGUAAUAAAAUCCAGUGCAUAGCUGAGAAUAAAUAAAUAAGCUCAAUGUAAUGUUGAUUUUGACAUACCCGAUACACCAUACUAAGUAAAAUGCUACAAUGAAACAAGACACAUACAUUUGAAAGUACCACGCAUAUUUCAUGAUAACAAAGUUGCUCACACUCUAGCAUAAGAGAAUACUAUGAUGCUUAACUGACAUAUAUAGGAUGAACUAAUAGGCCACCAUGCAACGUGGCGUACUAGAUGGUGAUAAAACCUAGUUCAUGUCCAUGUUCAUCAUCCACUGAGUAUCAAGAAGAUCUCCCAGCUUAUCACUAGUCCAGUCCAAGUGGCCCCUAUCUGCCUCCAUGGUCGGAGCCACUAAAGAACUACUAGUUCCCAUUUGCUCUUGUUGUUGGCCAAUAGCCAAGGUGGGCAUCUGGAUAUUGUUACUACUUCCAUGGCCAGUGUGGUAUUGGACUGAUGACCAAGCAUGGGCAUUGUUUAUGGAAGUAGGAUGUCCACAAAAGCUAUAGUGAUUUGUGUUGUAGACACCUCCACCAGAGGUGGCCCCCUCCCAGGCAGAAGCAUUUGUUUGCGGCAAGGGCUCAAAAUCAUAAAGUCCAAUGUCAUUGAUGCUAUAACGCUGCUUCUUGGUGCCAUUUUCUUUCCUAAGGAAGUACUUUUGUGCAUGGCUAGAAACCUGCACUGGUGUCUUGGAGGUAACAAAGUGCCUAGAGAUGUUCUUCCAAUUUCCGCGCCCGUACACAUGUAGACCACGGAGGAAUUGCCUACAAUGAGGUAGAGUUUGAAGUGAACUAAUUAGAUAUAAGUUUAGGUUCCAUUUCCCCAUAUAUUCAAGAUUCUUUGAAGAAAAAUAAUAUAUAAACACUUCAUCAUCAUAAUAAUACCUCAUAACCUAUGCUUAAUAAGGGUACUAAAACUUCAUGUGACAAGCAUUAUAAUCUAUAUGAGAUGCUUUAGGGAUCUAGCAAAUAACUAACCUAUGCUCGUCUGUGGUCCAAAACCUCCUAUUGUGCUGGCUCUCCUUUCGAGGAGUGGGCUUCCUCCGUGGAGUCUCCUUUACAUUCCUUGUGCUGAACAUCUCUUUUUGAUAACCACCAAAUGCUUCCAUGUUGCCCAUGGAUAGACCCCCCACAAACACCCCAAAGGGUUGAUUCAUGAGGUUGCUACUUGCUUCCACAUGUUGGUUGCCACUCUGCAAUGUUUGCAUCACCACCACUAUGACAUCAAUAUACAAGUCAGUUACUUGAUGCUUCUCCUUGCUAGGGAACAUUACCUGGAGCUCAUCCAUAAUUUGAUUGUGCUUCUUGUUCAUAUCACUAGCACAAUUGUUGUUGGCGUUGUCCACUUCAAUGAGAGAUUUCACCAUGCUGACCUCAGAGGCACUCCACUCUCCCUUGAACUUGGGAUCCAUGUGGUUGAGUACUAUAUAUGCAACAAUUGGUAGUUUGAGCUAAGAACAAGGGUUGUUGGGUUGUGGAGAUCGGCAAACACCAAGACUGGUAUUUAUAGGCUUCAUGUGAAUCUUUUUGUCCUAAUUUUAAUUAAUUGGACAAUUGAAUUUGAUAUAUAUUAUAUAGUAUAUCUCUACUUAUGUGACUUUUUUCUCAAAUGCAUUAAUAUUUAGUGCUAGAAAUUUGCUAUAAGCUCCGUAUACAUAUUGUCAACUUGACAACGCCAACAGUUUUCCUAUGUGCGCCCAUGUAUGUAGCCAUUGACGGGGUGACAUGUGUGGUCAUGCAUAGCCAUACCGCCACUAAAGUCAUUCAUAGGCACACAAGAUAGAAUAAUACCAGCAUCUGGUUUAGCUACUAUUAGUUGACUACAUCGUCAAUGGGAAAUUCUAAUGAUUACAAUGCUUCAUCUCACACGAGUGAUAUAUAUUUAUCUAUUAAAAUAUCUUGAUGAGCUACUGCAACAUAAAUGAUCACGAACAUUUCAAAUAUUGUAAUAAUAUAUGGAUAUCUUUUCUUGUGAUAUGGUAUUUAAUAGUUUUGUUCGGUAGAAAUGUACCAAAUGAAUAUCAGUGUAAGUAAUUUUGUUAAUUGAGAGUAUACAACUAAAUUAGUGUGUGCUUGGUUGGGUCUUCCCUGUUUUCUUGAGAAGUUAUUUCGAAUGACCUACGAAGAUAUGAAUUGCAUAUUUUCUUGAUAUGUUCAUGAUUUAUGUAUGCAUGCAAGAUAGAUUUUACUAACUAAUUUGGUAACAAUGUUUCUAUUGCGCCAUAGAUGACUCUUUGUUGAUCAGCCGCAAACCACCCGUGGUCUUUUCAUUAAAGGCUACAAGUGCUCAUAAUAAUUAGUUGACACAAAAGAGCAAGAAUUUGAGUUAACCUCAGUAAAGUGUCUUAAAUAUUCAAAAACCAUUUUAUCCUCAUAUAUUUGCACUUUCAUUUCACCUUGGGUUCAAUGAGCUCACAAACUAAUAGUAUAAAUACAAUAAGUGGAAUAACUAUAUUUAUCUUCAAAAGGAAUAUGUCCAUACAAUGAUAUUCCUAAAUAUAGCAUAUGUAGAUUGAAAUGUGAUAUACUUAAUCAGUGUCCAUGUUACACAUAAACCUACUAGUUUCCUCAAUUUAACAAAAAACAAACAACUUAGACUCAAAGGUAACUAGUCGUGGUUUGUCAAAAAAGAAGCAAGAUAUACGCAUAUAUGUGAUAAAGUUUGACUAACAAAUCAAAAUAAUGUCACAAAAUAGUGCAUAGUUAUGAUAAAAUUUUUGUUUCACCAUGGAUCAAAUUGAUGAUGGACCUUGGGUGUUGACCAUUUACGACGAACUAUGAUGUUACCACAAAUAUUGUCAUUGAACACCACAUAAUAUCGUCAUAGAUUACAUGCGUCGCUCGCAUUACUCAUCAAUAAUGCUUUAUUUUUGAACCAAAAUGAAUACGACUUCGACACUAAACCAAUUACUCAUAUGUGAUGCUCUAUUUUCAAACUCCAUCAUUAAACCAUUUAUAAAGACAAAAGUGUUAAAAUAUCUAUCUUUUUAAUAAUGGUUUCUAGAAACUAAAAGAACGCAAAAGAAUUAAGUGUCUCUUAAGACUUAAAUCAUAACUUUUAGCUCACACAAUGUUUGGCAACCACCUCAGUAUACACUCACUUUUGAGUAUAUAUAUAUGAUGCAAUCUUUUCAUAUGGACAUUUUAUAACAUUAUAUUUGAUAUUUUGACUACUAAAUGAACAUAACUAAAAAUGUUUUAGCUAUAAAAGUUUUAAAUCAGUAGUACAACUUUGAUAUAGGAUGUGUCUCGUCCAAAAUUGUUUGGAAACAUUUAAAACUUGAUUCUCAAAUUGUAUGAAUUUAAAUAAACAUUCAAGACUCCAAGCAACUUCAAAUAAAAACAUAUCAAUAAUAAAAUAAUGGGAUUAAGUUGGCCUCUAAAUUUGGUAUGAACCAUAUGAACAUUCAAGGUUGGUUGAAAACUUAAAAUUUUCUAAUACGUGAACUUAAAAUAAUAUUUGGGACACUAAAUGGUUUCAUAUCAAAAUCUUUUCAACUAAAAAUUUAUAGACUGCGUGAAUACCUACAAUUUUAAUAUAAAGUUUGUCUUCAUUCAACUUUAUAUAGAAAUUUUAUAAAUUAUUUUUAAGCAACUUCAAAAAAAAUUAGAAAAAUGGUAUGCGGCGUGUAAUUGUAGGCCUACCUUGCGAGGCCCAUCAUGCUACGUAUUUGUUGGUCCACCAUAUCAUUUACAUCAAACAUAAAAAACCCCAAAAAUAAGCAUAGAUGUUUCUCAAGGCUAAAUCCUCAACCUUCCACUUACACUACACCUUCAUAUUACUGUACUACACAUUCAUUUAUGAUUAUAUAUAGUAUGCUAUCAUUAUGUAUAAAAAUUUUAUAAUCCUGUAUUGAAUAUUUUAGCUACUCAAUACACCUAAAUGUUUUUUGAUUUAAAUCUACUCAAAUAGUGCAUCUUCGGUCUAAGAUGUGUCUCUAUCCAAUACUGCUUAAAAUUUCAAAAUUUAAAUAUUAAAAUGCGUGAAUGUAAAAUAAAUAUUUGAUAAUCUAAAUAACUUCAUAUAAAAAUCUUAUCAACAACAAACUCAUAGAUUAGGUUGGCCUCUACAACUUUCGGUUUAACCAUGUAAUACCCGAUUUUAAGGACAAAACCAGAUAUGCACCAUAUGUGAGUUUUAGAAGCCAAGACUCACAUAUAGCUACAAAUAAGGGGUAAUAUCAAAAGACAAUGCAUAAUUAUAUAACGUACAUAAUAUAAAAGAGAUAACCUUUAGCAAACAGCGGAUAGACAUCUCCAAACUUCGGGUAUUAACUUCACUCUACAGGAUCCAACUGACUGGUUGAUCACAAGCCUAAACUUCUCCUGAGGUUUGGGGAAAAUAGCAAGAGUGAGUCCAUGUCGAACUCCACAAGUAUAGCAACUAGAUUGUAUAACUUCCACAAUCUCAUGACCAAUGUGACAUAAAUAAUGUAAAGCAUUAAACAAUAAACAAUGAGCAUAUUUAACACACAAGAUUCAUCACCCUUAAUGUAGAUGUCCCCAAGGCCGCUCCUGACCGUGAGCUCGGCUAGUAUACUAGUUUUAACACUCUGCAGAGGUUGUACAUCUUUACCCAUGAGUCAUGAUUUACCCUUUCGCCCGAGGCCCGUCGACCUCUUAACCCACUACCAAGGAAGGUCGGCAGGGAUCACUAUGAAGCCUUUCAAAAGUUCGUCUAACAUGUUAGGGCCGCAAGGUUUCCUUUGCGAGCAGAUAUAGAUACCCCCCUUCCGAAUGGCACAAUGACGCGCAGCCUAUACACAUAGGGACAGGGGCUCGCACUAUACCCGUGUCGGUUCAGCCCCUCUAGCGCCCUUUCGGGUAACCUCUAACAAGCUAGAAAAGGUCUUCAUACUGAGCUAAAGCCAGAGCCAUUAUAGCCCUCAUGGUUGCACUGUUGUCCCGGGUGAUCACGUACAGACAAAUCAUCAAGUGGCUAAAAAGUCAUUUUUAUCAUUUAUUACUUAACAUUAAUCUAGUCACAGGAUCAUGGUCACAGAAAUAAAACCCAAAUGCUAUACUUGCCUUAAUCCAAUUGCUCUUGCUUAUCCUUUUGGUCCUGUUGGUCUCACAUAUCCAAAACUCUGAUCUUGAUCACCAAAAACUGCUCUCCGUCUAAACUCGAUCAUCGAUCACACAAACAAUCGAAGAAAACAUACACGAAGCAAACAAGGCUACAAUUAGAACAGUACACCAAACAUAUAAAAACAGUAUGAAAAGUUUAUAAAAUGAUUCUACGUAUCACUACAAUUUCAUCGACGUAAAGAUCACUUAAAUCGGAUUUGAAACGGAGAAGUUAUGAAUUUUCUAAGAUUUUAUAUAGAAAAGUAAUUAAUUAAAUGGGAUCACGAAAUUAAAAGGUUUCAAACUGAGAAAACAGUGUUACAGAAAACAGUGUUACUAACAUGUAGAGCUCAUGAAAACGAACCUAACGCAAUUUAAACAGUUCAAAUCGGAGAUAAAAUAAGUAUUUUAUGUCUAAGACAAACUAGUGUAUUUUCUUUGUAUUUCUAGAUUUGUUUUUCUAAAGAAAAACGUCCACAAAACAUAGUGAUGUCAUCAUGUGAUCAUCAUGACAUGAGCACAACUGUUGAUUAAUUAAACAAUAGAUAGACAAGAUGAUCUGUAGACUGACCUUAAUUUAAUAUGUAUAAUUGUUGUCAAGGCGACGGUGUUUAAGAAUCAAUCGAUCGUUAGUUGCAUCCGUUGCACUUGAAGUUUCUCGGUAUGCAGAUAGACAUGCAUGGUGGAAGCGAGGUAGCAAAUUGCAGGCUGCGGCUGAUAAAAUCAAGCACUGAAUUGCUCAGGCUAACUAGAUACAGCAGAGAAAGAAAUUGUAACCAUAUAAAUGUUCAGUGCUCACCAAUGCCAAACAAGGAUCGACUGCCAAGGUUAUGCACGGGAUGGUGAAUCAUAGACUGGAUCUCGAUGUCACGACAGACGGUGAUUAGACUUGCGGAUGAGGAACGGCCCACGGUGUUUUCCACAGCGUAGAUGAUCAGGCCCCGGUCAUGAAUUCGGAACAGCUGCCCAACGACCUGGCGUCGGCGAUGGCUGCGGCGAAGUUCGGCAACCAUAGAAUACGAAAGACAAGAAUACAGAAUCGAAUGGUAAAAAGAUCACUUGGAUCAGGAUAAGCCUCACCUCUUCCAGCAAAGAACGACAGCACGCACAUGACUUGGUCAGGGCAGGGCUCAUGGCUCUCAAUCGUUUUAUCCAUGUUUUGCUCGGCAUCGACUUUUCAACGUCGGAAGAACUUUGGCGGCGGCUCGGGAGAAAAUAUUUUAGAUAGCUAGAUUAGAUCAAAGAGAGACACAGGCAUGCACUUAUAACGCUAGGUUAAAACCAAGUUGGAGAAGGACUAUAUUUUAUUAUUUUCGGAAUAUUUAAUUUUAGUUAUAAAGUUAAUUCUUCAAAACCUAGAAUUAUUAUUUAAGCCAAGAAAAAUACUCCAAAAGCUCCAAAAAUUCUGGAAAAAUUAUCAGAGACAUUAUGGAAGACGAAGAACCUAAAUAAAGUAUUUAGAGCUUAUAAUAAGAUAAUUUGGAACAUCUAAAAAUUAGAUUAUGCUCAUGGAAAAGGUCGGAAAAAUUCCCGAGAACUUUGGUAGAGAUUGCUUGAUGGACGAGAAACUGAAAGGAGUAACUUAGGUACGAAAGAAAGGAUUCCGAGAGACCCUGAAUGAAAUCUUGAGCUGAGAGACAAGGAAUUUGAUUGUAGAAAAAAAAAAAUAUGCCCAAGAAGGAAGAUCGAUCUAAUAAACGUAUUUUAAAUAUUUUUCUUACUAUCAACACAUAAAGGAGCAACAAGCAUCACUUCAAAACAUAUGCACCAGCAUGUAUGCAUAAUAAUAUUGCUAUGCCUUAUAAUAAAUUUUAAUUUAAUAAAAAAUAUUAUUUUUCCUAUAUUUUCAUGAGCACAAAAAUACAAAAUUAAAUAAUUUUAUCUAUAUUUCAAAAGGAAUAAAUUUUAGGGUGUUACAAACCAUAUGAACAUUCUAGAUAGCUUGAAAUUUCUAAAUUUUGAAUUUAAAAAUAUAAGUUCUGAAAACAUAUAUUUAGAACUCGAAACAACUUUUCAAGGACAAAGUUGUAAACUAUAUUGAUAACUAGAACUUUCUGUACAGUCCAUGUCUAACAUCCAAGAUUGUUUUAGAUUUCAAAAUGAGUAACUUAAAAUAAUAUUUUAGAACUCUAAAUAAUUUCAAAUCAAAGCCUUCUCAACCGCAAAGUCAUCAAUUGUGUUGAUAGCUGAAAGCCCUAAUUUGGUUUAGUUAAUUGAUGAAACCUAUUGGACUACCCCUAUGUAUAAGUGUGAUUAUGAGAUAGGUUGGUCCAAGUCCAAGUGAUGGAGCUAAAUGGCACUCAAGUGAUAGAGAUGGCCAAAAGAUGGUGACCAAGUGCUCUAACUUAGAAAAGGAGAAAGAGAAAAACAAAAUGGUGGUCAAGGCAAAGGUAUAAAUGCAAUAUAAUGUGUUAUCAGGUUUAGGAUAGAUAGUUGUACUAUUAAGAGGGAAACUGCCAUGGUGAAUAUGGUUUUCUAGUGCCACUAGGUGAAUUAACUCCAUGCAUUUGCAUUAGGACCUAGUGAGUGCUAACAACCCUUGAAAAUAUUUGUGAAAAAUGCUAACUCAUGUAUAAAAGUGUUGGAAACAUUGUGGAGUUAACACAUUUACACAAAAGUGUUUAAGUAUUGGAAGAUUUGGAGUAGCUUUGGGUACAUCAGGCGCAUUGGUGCUAGCACCACACAAAUGAUCUUUGCAUUUGAUGGCUAACCCUAGUGCAUCAGACGAUGUCACUGCAUCAGACAAACAAGUUUGUGUCAGCCUCAUGAAAUAAUUCUUUGGACAACUUUUAGUGAAGACAUUUGACAAAUGACACCAUCUAUCCAUAAGGAGUGUUCAGUAUCACUAUUCAUGCAAAGGGAGUGUGUUUCACUGUGCAUGUUGAACGUUGGGGCUUUGUCUGAUGUGAACCAUCAGAUGUGUCUAGUGUGUUUUGAGUGGCUCUUAAUGCUCUCUGGAAUGCAUCGAACACUGGGUGAUGUUUUGUCUAAUGUGACUGUUGGUAUAAAUUAAAUACACAUAAGAAAAUAAAGUAUCUGCAAGCGCACAAAUAGUAUAUCGAUGUAGCACUUCACCCAGGAGUAUUCCAGAGUAUCAUUAUUUAUAUUUUAUCACAGAGAAGACAUGUGAUACUAACUAAGUCUAUACUUAACCCCUAAGAAAUAUCAAAAAGGACAGGGAUGAUAGAGACAAUAAAGAAGGUCACUAGGGUCAUCUCGUUCUAACCUUAUAAGCUAUAUGUAUAUUACUACUUAGGCUAGGGACAUUACUCAAGAGAAAGCACCAUAUAAGAUAUCUUUAACUUAGCAACUGCGUCCUACAUGCCACUAUAGACGGGAGAUAGACUAUAUAAGAACCAACAAGGCUAUAAAGUCACCCUCAUGAACUACCACUGAUGUGAAAUGUAGGGUGCAUCUAUGAGGAACGAUAGUCUAAGCACCACGCUUAUAUCAUGUAUACUACCCUAAUCUAGGAGCUACUAAGACUAGAGCACUCAAAAGAGAGUCGUAAACCAGAUGAAUAAUAAUAACAAUGAACUUACUUGAAUUAGAAGUUGAACACUAAAAGACUUUUAGAAGCAAGCUCUAGGGCUAGUGGAACUUGAUUCCGUAGGUACAAGCCGAAGAGGUCACCGAUAGGCCGAAGCUGGAGCCCUAACUCUUCUCCAACACUCUAUCUCCCUAUUUCUAAAUAAGACUAGUCCUAAUCUCUUGUGGACUAUAAAACUAAUCCUCUCUCAAUGAUUCUUUUGAUUCUCCAGGAACUCUUGAUGUAGAAGUGGAAUUAGGGUUUCAACCUAGAGAGAAUGCUUUCAUCUGAGGGAGGGGGCUCAGUAUUUAUAGCCGGUGGAAUGAACGUGGGCCUUUGGAUCAAACCAACUUGAACAACAAUGGAGAUUAAGCCUUGAGGUCGGUUGCUACCCUAGCACCUAGGUCGGCUGACCUGGCUCAAUGCCAGGUGGGCCCCCACCUUGCAGGGUCUCGCCUCUGGUGUUAUCUAAAAUCUUCUUCUUUCGGAGUUGCAUUGGGAUAUGCUUUUUACACCGACGUCCACCAUGUCUUCUUUUAUUUUCCUAUUUAAUCUCUAAAAAACAUAGAUAUACCAAAACUUGUGAAAUUCUGUCAGUUUAACCCCUAUCUUAUGCAUAUAUUUUAUUAUGAGCAUCUAUUCAUAUUUAGAUGAUGGUUAAAAGUGACACUUAACAACCGUUAACAAGCUCCCCCACAUAUAGACUUUUAUUCGUCCUCGAGAAAAGGUUGGAUCACUGCAAACAUAACUUUAGGACAAGUUAUCAACAUAAAACUAUUCCUAGUCAAACGUGUAUUGAGAGAUUCAAUGUGUCUAUCAUAAAAUUUUAGGCGGUUGAAAAAUGGAGCAGCUUGAAACAGAUUACCUUUUUUCGGUUACUUACCUUCUCCUCCAUGUAGUACUCUCAAAUCACUUAUAUAUGUCAUACUCUUAGAUCAAGAUGUCCAUGUGUAUAUAUAUAUAUAUAUAUAUAUAUAUAUAUAUAUAUAUAUAUAUAUAUAUAUAUAUAUAUAUAUAUAUAUAUAUAUAUAUAUAUAUAUAUAUAUAGGCUAUCUCCUAAUUCUACUUUGCUCCUGAUAACAUGUCUCCUACUUUGAAAUAUUAAGAAACUUUGCUUAGAGAGUAUGGGCUAUCUCCUAAUUCUACUUUGCUCCUGAUAACAUGUCUCCUACUUUGAAAUAUUAAGAAACUUUGCUUAGAGAGUAUGGGCUAUCUUUUUCUUCUCUCUUUUUCAAUGCUUUUCUUUGGACACUUGUCCCCUUUAUUUAUUUAUUUAAUAUUUUCCUUUUUGCAUAGCCAUAUGCUUUCUUUCUACAACUAGUAAACUUUUGAGAAAGACAAUUACAAAAGCUUGGAACAUUUAUCCCUAACAAAUUUCGUUUUGUGUUUUCUCCCAGUGUAGGAAUAAAACAUUAAGUGGAUGAAAAAAGAUUUUUUUGCGUACUCCUAGUGUAGGAGCAUCAGAUAUAUGUGGGUGUAUGUGAUCUUGAUCUUAGGCGCAUGAUAAACCUCUCCACAUAGGUGAACAAGGUUUACCAAAGCUCAACACAAAACAAGUAGCUUGUGAGCUAGUUUUCAAUAUGUAAAUUAUGUACGGCUCAAGUGGGAUAAAUGUUACUACUAAUGACUAGACAUCAAGAAUUAGGUUCUCAUUAUUCUAGCUAUAUCACAUUUCAUAAUAACUUAAGUGACAAGGGGUAAUUGUCAAAAAAAAGUGACAAGGGGUCCCUAAAAUAAGUUUUCAUCAAUAGCAAGGUUUCCGCGAAAAGUAUUAUGUGGAUCUAUCCUCGAGUCAUGAUAGCAACAUAUUUUAUUUAAUAUUUAUAAUAUUUAUGAAUUUCUAAUUUAAUUCAAAACAUGGAGCAACAUAUAUAGAGAUAGAGUGUGUUUGGUUCAUACCAGACUAUAAUUUUAAUUCUAUUUUUUUUUCAAGUUUUGUAAUCGUUUGUCACGUGGUGGUGCACCUCCCCAACACUUUUCAUGUUAUUCUUCAAGCAUAGCAAAGUGGAGACAAAAGCACAAAUAUCCAAAAAUAAAGAGUAUAAUAAUAAACCAAACUUUAUUUCGCUCUUUGGUCAAAUUGACGACAAAGUGUUGGUUACAUAUACAAUUUUGUGAAGUUUGAGACUUAAGAUUUCCAAUCAAAAGAUGGAAAAGGAUGUUCGGCCAAACAAAACCCGCCCAAAACCUGUAUUUUUAUUGUAAAAAGAAAAAGAAAAAAAAAGCAAAUAAUAAAGAAACCCUCACGACUGACUAGGAGUUCUUCCAGAUCCAGCCCUUGGCUCGCAGUACACCACAGCAGACCCAGAUCUCAACGUGCCCCUUCCCUCAGAUCUCAAUUCCCAAAUGCCCUCGCCGUCGUAGCUGCACCCCGACCCCGCGCGCUCGCUCGGAUCCAUGGGCGGGCUCAGGGCAGCAUCGCCGUCGGGCGCAGGAUCCGGAGCCGUCGCGGGGGCGGGAUCCGAUCACGGGGCGCCGCGACUGGCGAUGGCGUGUGUGCUAGCGUCAGAGGCCGCCACGGUGCUCGCCGUCAUGCGCCGCAACGUCCGCUGGGCGGGCGUCCGCUACGGCGGUGGCGACGGUGGUGCGGGCGACGACGAGCACCUUGACCACCCGCUCGUCGCGGGGCUCAAGGCUCUCCGCCGCCGCGCUGCCGCGUGGGGCCACGGUCGCUGGGCGGGAGUCGAGCCGCUCCUCUACCUCCGACCCUUCCUCGAUGUCGUCCGCUCCGACGAGACUGGGGCGCCCAUCACGGGCGCCGCGCUCUCGUCGUUGCACAAGAUCCUCACCCUUGACCUCGUCGGGCCUGGCGCACCAGCCGCUGCCGAGGCCAUGGCCGCCGUCGUCGACGCCGUCACGGCCUGCCGCUUUGAGGUCACUGACCCGGCGUCUGAGGAGGCCGUCCUGGCAAGGGUCCUGCAAGUGCUGCUUGCCUGCGUGCGCAGCCGUGCAGCACCGGCGCUUGCUAACCGCCAUGUCUGCACGAUCGUCAACACAUGUUUCCGCGUCGUGCAGCAGGCUGGAACCAAGGGGGAGCUACUGCAGCGUGUCUCCCGCCAGACAAUGCAGGAGGUUAUAAGAACUGUCUUUGCCCGCCUGCCGGACAUCCAUGUCACUGUGUUGUCCGACGAGCAGGUAUGAAGCAUUGUUAUACUUGCUAUUACUUUGCUGUGCUGAUGAUCAUGUAAAAUGUUGCUAUACCAUUCCUCCCUCAGCAUAAUAACUCAACUUACUCCUACUAUGCUUGUGUACAUUGGUCUGAAGUGUAAACAAGCGAAAUGAUCUAGGGCCUUUUUUGUACUUAGUUUAACUAAUUGUUGUCAUUUGAGCAAUAUGACCACGGUGCAAAUACUGACAAUCUGACACUAAGAUCAGCUCUUAGUUUGGAAACAAGCUUUUGUUAGUAGGAACUUGGAAGGCUCAUUAUACUAAAUGAAUUUUAUUAAUUUGCUGGUAGCAUUUGUUAUGCAGGUUACUGGUUGCAAGAACCAAAAUUUGGGUGCUGAGGAGACAGAGAACGGGAAGAGUGACUAUGUAUGUUUGAACAGCUCUGGCGAUGAGGUGGGAGAUGGUUCUGGUGUCGUGCCAGACAAAGACUUGAUGGAGCCCUUUGGGGUUCCUUGUAUGGUAGAGAUAUUGCAAUUCUUGUGCUCCCUCUUGAACAUAGCAGAGGACAUUAAGGUGAACCCAAGGAUGAGUCCAAUUGACUUUGAUGAGGAUGUGCCGCUUUUUGCUCUGGGGUUGAUUAAUUCGGCUAUCGAGCUGUCGGCUUCGUCUAUACACAGACAUCAAAAACUUUUAUCAUUUGUACAGGAUGAAUUGUUCCGCAACCUAAUGCAUUUUGGCUUGUCAAUGAGCCCCCUGAUCCUGUCGACAGUGUGCAGCAUAGUUUUUACUCUCUUUUACCAUCUGCGCCAUGAACUUAAGCUGCAAAUAGAGGCUUUCUUCUCAUGUGUUAUCCUAAGAUUAGCACAGAGUAGAUAUGGAGCAAGUUAUCAGCAGCAAGAAGUUGCCCUUGAGGCUCUAAUCGAUUUUUGCCGGCAGAAAGAGUUUAUGGCUGAGAUGUAUGCAAAUAUGGACUGUGAUUUACAGUGCUCAAAUAUUUUUGAAGAGUUAGCUAACCUUCUGUCUAAGAGUGCAUUUCCUGUGAACAGUCCUUUGUCAGCUUUAAAUGUGCUUGCUUUGGAUGGUUUGGUUGCUGUCAUUCAGGCCAUGGCACAGCGGACUGAUAAUGCACCUCAACAUCAUGAUCAAACAGUGCCAGAAAUAAGUGAAUAUUUUCCUUUCUGGCAGUUGAAGUGUGAGAGCAGUAAUGAUCCUGAUCAGUGGGUUAAAUUUGUCCACCAGCAAAAAAGCAUCAAGAGAAAGCUAAUGGUUGGUGUUGAACAUUUUAAUAGGGACAAAAAGAAGGGUUUUGAGUACCUACAAGGCGUUCAUCUUUUGCCUGAAAAACUUGAUCCACACAAUGUUGCUCUGUUCUUCAGGUACACACCUGGGUUGGACAAGAAUCUUCUUGGGGAUUACCUGGGUAAUCAUGAUGAAUUCUCUAUCCGGGUCCUUCAUGAAUUUGCUAGAACCUUUGACUUUAAGGAUAUGAAUUUGGAUGCUGCCUUAAGGCUCUUCUUGGAAACUUUCCGGUUGCCUGGUGAGUCACAGAAGAUACAGAGAAUUCUUGAGGCCUUUUCUGAGCGAUAUUAUGAACAGUCACCACAAAUGUUUGUUAAUAGAGAUGCAGCUCUGGUGUUGUCAUAUUCUGUAAUCAUGCUCAAUACUGAUCAGCACAAUGUAAGGGUUAAGAAGAAGAUGACUGAGGAAGACUUUAUUAGGAACAAUCGCCGUAUAAAUGGAGGAAACGAUCUGCCAAGAGAAUUCUUGUCAGAGCUUUAUUAUUCUAUUUGCCGGAAUGAAAUCAGAACUAUUCCUGAGCAAGGAGCUGGGUGUUCUGAGAUGUCUUUCAGUCGUUGGGUUGAUCUAAUGUGGAGGUCAAAGAGAACAUCAAUGUACAUUGCUUGUGACUCCUACCCUUUCCUUGAUCAUGACAUGUUUUCCGUUAUGGCCGGACCAACAGUUGCUGCUGUUUCUGUGGUUUUUGACAAUGUUGAGCAUGAAGAGGUUCUUACAGGAUGCAUUGAUGGCUUCCUGUCGGUGGCAAAACUGGCUGCAUUCUAUCAUCUUGAUGAUGUUCUCAAUGAUCUUGUUGUGGCACUAUCUAAAUUCACCACUUUGUUGAACACUUCUUACAUUGAUGAUCCUGUAACAGCUUUCGGGGAGGAUACCAAGGCUAGAAUGGCAACAGAAGCUGUUUUCACUAUAGCAACUGCUUAUGGUGAUCAUAUACGCAGCGGAUGGAGGAACAUAAUAGAUUGUAUUUUAAGAUUGCAUAAGAUAGGACUUCUUCCUGGUUGCCUCACUGGCGAUACAACUGAUGAUCAGGAAUCCUCUUCAGAUUCAUUACCCGGCAAACUUGCUUCAUCUGCUCCUCAAGUUUUGCCAAUUAGCACUCCUCGGAAAACUUAUGGACUGAUGGGGAGGUUCAGCCAACUACUGUACUUGGAUGCUGAUGAACCAAGGUCCCAACCAACUGAGGAGCAACUCGCUGCUCAGAGGAAUGCUUCAGAGACUGUAAAGAAGUGCCAAAUAGGUACCAUCUUCACUGAGAGCAAAUUCUUGCAAGCUGAUUCACUCUCAAAUCUGGCAAGAGCCCUCAUUCAGGCAGCAGGCAGACCUCAGAAAAUCACCAGCUCACUUGAUGACGAAGGCAUAUCUGUCUUUUGCUUAGAGCUUCUAAUUACUGUCACAUUAAACAACAGAGACAGGAUUGUUCUUUUGUGGCAGGAUGUUUUUGAGCACAUAACCCAUAUUGUCCAGUCCACGGUGAUGCCCUGCAACCUGGUGGAGAAGGCUGUUUUUGGGCUCCUGCACAUCUGUCAGAGGUUGCUUCCCUAUAAGGCGAACUUGGUAGAUGAUUUGCUGAGGUCAUUGCAGCUGAUUCUGAAACUUGAUGCCCGUGUAGCUGAUGCUUACUGUGAGAACAUUACCUUGGAGGUCACACGGCUUGUCAAGGCCAAUGCGACCCAUAUCAAAUCCCAGAUGGGCUGGCGGACUAUCAUUUCCUUGCUCUGCAUCACGGCACGCCAUCCUGAUGCUUCUGAUGCAGGAUUUGAAGCCCUGGUUUUUAUCAUGUCAGAAGGAGCACACCUCUCACCUGCUAACUUCAUCCUUUCAGUGGAGGCAUCAAGGCAGUUUGCAGAAUCUCGGCUUGGGUCUGCAGAAAGAUCUAUCCAUGCUUUGAACCUAAUGGCAGACUCAGUUAACAGCCUUAUUCGAUGGUCACGAGAGGUUAGAGAAGCUGGUGGAGAGGCAGACAGAAUAUUGGAAGGAAUUGCUGAGAUGUGGCUGCGGCUAGUGCAGGCUCUACGCAAGGUGUGCAUGGAUCAAAGAGAAGAAGUGAGGAACCAUGCGUUGUUAUCGUUGCACAGAUGCUUGGUAGUUGAUGGAAUAUCAGUUAAGUCUUCAACAUGGUUGAUGGCAUUUGACAUUAUUUUCCAGUUGCUUGACGAACUGUUGGAGAUUGCUCAGAGCUACUCACCAAAGGAUUUCAGAAACAUGGAGGUGUCUCUCUUGCAUGCUGUAAAACUGUUAUGCAAGGUGUUCUUGCAGUCACUUAAAGACCUAUCAGGGCAGGGCAGUUUUGAUAAGCUGUGGUUGGAGGUCCUUGACAUGAUAGAGAAGUUCAUGAAAGUCAAAGUGAGGGGGAGGAGGACAGAGAAGCUACAAGAGGCUAUCCCAGAGUUAGUCAAGAACAUACUGAUGGUGAUGAAAGCAAGUGGGAUCCUGUCAAAAACAGGUGCCAGUGAAAACAGUAUCUGGGAAGCAACAUGGCUUCAAGUUAACAAGAUUGCGCCCUCUCUACAAUCAGAAAUUUUUCCUGACAAUGAGGAUGGCAGCACAACUCAAGUUGAAGAAAACAAAUUGGAUACACAAGCGCAAUCUGACAAGAACAAUGAUCAAUAGGACAUUAUACUUUCUUCCAUCCAAUCAAGUUAGUUGCAGCUGGAUUCUUUCAACUUUUUGUUCCAAAACCAUACACAGAUGCGUGGCAGUUCUGUAUGUGCCAUUAGGAAGAGUAAGAUGGUAUAUUGUAAUUUUCUUACUUUAUAUAUAUAAUUUUGUUAUUGACAAGGUUGUUACUUUGGGCUUUAUUGUUGCAACAGCAAAGUUGUAUGAUAAAUAUAGUGUGCUACCGGCCUUGGGGAAUCAAAGCUUUUGGCUGUUUAUUGUUAUGAUCCCAGCACCUGUGUACGGUACUACUGGGGGAAAUUGCUUAAAGCAGUAGGUGCGACCGUGUUAAGGUUUUCCCUUGCCAUUAUCUGGUGUCACAAGGCGUCCAAUACGAAUGUGCUCUUCAGUUACUUCAUAUAUAUGGGUGAUAUGCUGGAUUGCUGGUACAUAUAAAUUUAUCAUUCACCUGUGAAUGUGAAAGAGCUCAAUAAAGAUGCCCUUAUUUUCCUUUGUUUAUUAGAGGCCAGGCAGGAAGGACAAGCAGCUGAGAGCAUGCAUCUUCGUCGCUCCUGCUGCAUCUUUGGUUCUUUUGCUUUAUGUGCCUCCUGCAUUCAUAGGCUCAAAUGAACAUGCGGCGCUGUAGUCAAAAUUUGCAAACACAUUUUUCUUACUGAAAUGCUACUUGUUUUCAGAUUAAAAUAUCAGAGUGGCAAGUUCUGAACAAAUCAGAUUUGGUUUGCAAACUGAAGGAAAUCGCAUACCCUUUCAGCUUCAGUUUGCAGAAUUGGAAGGGUCCAUUUAUUCUGUGGGAAGUCUUGUAGAUAGGAAUGCUAAUAUUCAUCCAUUAGUAAAUAAUCUAGAAGUAUAUUGUUUUUCGUUCCUCAUGGCCGUGUAAAUUAAAGCUUGUUUAUGCUCUUUGGAAUAUUAGAAUUGUAGCAUGACCGCAGAACGCAGAACUUGAAAAAUGAAAUGUGCAUGAUCUCAUUGCAAUUGCUGCAUUAAUGGAUGCAGUUGCUUUCCACUCCUAUAGCAGGCAGCCUGUUUUUUUUCUCAACUCUAGCGUAUAACUCCUUGCUUUUCUUGACGGCACAUGCUCUUGCUUGUGUAAUCCAAUUACUUCCAUGAGUCCCGUGAAGCCAUUGACAGUGUAUGCCUGUAUGAGCCUAAUACCUCUGUUCUCAUUAGUCAUUACUAAAACAAGCUGGGCUGCAGCAAAGCCAGUUGCUGAAAAACCAUAGAUGUGUGGUAAUAAGCUUAUUGGCUGCUAUUCCACGAUUCAGAUGAUUUGACCUUGUAACAAAACCAUGUGACCAUAGAUGUGAGGUUUGUGCAAUCACCAGUUUAUGGAGGUGAUCAUUAGAUUGACUUUUCGUGCUCUUGCAAACCACCCCACCUUUACGUUGACUAGUGCGCGCGCGUGCGGCCGACCUCAUUUUGCCCUCCUCUCCUCCCCGGCCCUCCCGCAGCGUCUCGCGAUCGUGGGCGGCCGGGUAACCUGCGGUGGCUUGCGCAGGCACGCACACAGCAGCACGGGCCGCACACGCUAGCCCCGCCGCGUACGCUACACGUGAGCGGCUACUGACAACGGCGUCCUCCUCCGCUCCGCAACCGCACUUGCUGCACUCCGGUGCCAUGCAUAAACAGACUACUGACGUAGGCCUUGUUUAGAUCCGAAAUUUUGUUUGGAUUUCAACACGGUAGUAAUUUCGUUUUUAUUUGACAAACAUUAUUCAAUUAUAGAAUAACUCGGUUUAAAAGAUUUAUCUUACGAUUUACAGCAAACUGUGCAAUUAGUUUUUGUUUAUAUUUAAUGCUCCAUGUUUGUGCUGCAAGAUUCGAUGUGACGGAAAAUCUUUAAAAAUUUUUGGUUUUUGGUGUGAACUAAACAAGGCCGCGUUCAGUUAGCUAGAAAUAAACCUGGAAUGCGCCUAGGAACCAUUCCAGCUUGAUCAAAGUUAUACAAAUUAAAUUAGUUGAGGGCUUGUUCGAACGGUUACUACGGAAUGGUUCCUAGAACGAUUUCUACAUGAAUUUCUUAGCUAAUUUAUAUAACCUUUGAUCAUUUGUGAGUGUAUUCAUGAAGAACCGAAUAAGCCUUGAACCGUUCCGCUACAAAUCGUCCCAGAUAACCGAACAAGGCCAAUUCUUGUGUGGUGUAAUAUUGUGUAAGGAGAGUAUUGUACAACGCACAAUCUUUCAUCCUUACGAAACAUAGUAGAUAUAUACACAUCUAAUGUGGUCAGUCCUACUAGAAUUUGAAAUGCCUCUUUAGAAAGUCUCGACCAAGUUGAUUUGAUACAAGUCUUAUCUCCUCUCGUGAUAAAGUAGUCCACCGAUCAUAGCUCAUGCGUAGGAUAUCAGGGUUCGUCGUGACUGCUGUAAGUCGUAGGCAGAGCAUUAGACGUUCUUAAUACCCAGGCCUUGUUUAGUUCCAAAAUUUUUUGGGAAAUCGACAAUGUAGCAUUUUCGUUUGUUUGUGGUAAAUAUUGUCCAAUCAUGAACUAACUAGGCCUAAAAGAUUCGUCUCAUCAAUUCCGACUAAACUGUGCAAUUAGUUUUUAUUUUCGUCUAUAUUUAAUACUUCAUGCAUGCGUCUAAAGAUUCGAUGUGACGGGGAAUCUGAAAAAUUUUGCAAAAUUUUUUAGGAACUAAAUAAGCACAACUAGAUUUUUCAAUUUCUCCUAGUAAUGUGGGGUUCUCCUAGUGUUUUAGCAUUUAGAAUUUAGUAUAAACUUUCCCUAGUAAAUGCCUCCUAGUGAGGAUUUCCUAGUGUUUGACUAAUGGUAAUGUUUUGUUACUAACUAAAAACACUAGGAGAACUCCAUCAUUUUAGUAGUGAAGGCCCCACUAGCAUAAAGAAUUCAGGGGUCAGAUGUACGAGACGUCGAUGAGAAGCCUUGACGCGCCGUACGUACGUUCUGUUUUCGCAGCGCGCGGAUCGUCAGUAUAGUUCACACUUCUUCUGCAUGUUCGUUGCACGCAGCUACCAUAACAUGUGUAGCACAAUCGUAAAGGAACAGUAAUACGUCUGUGAUGAUUGAUUUCCAUGAUCUAAAGAUUAAUAACGUCUAGAGCGUUUAAUCGGUCCGCCGGCCGUCCAGUUUUUAAAUUGCUUGUGCCCGCUACCUCCUUUUUUGUUAGUAAAAUGAACGGGAUGUCUAUGUCUCAAAAGUGAAAGGGUCAGGUGAAUUGGAGUUAACACUAAUCGAGGUUGAGCAUCUUUAAGGGUUUUACAUUUGGACUUUACAUUCUUGUAAUUUGCCAAAAAUCGUAAAAAGAGGUAUCCAAUGGUUUUGCAUUUAGAGUUUAGAUUUAGGCAACUUGGCAAAUGAGAGAGCAAAUUUGGCAUAUAUGCCAAGCCGCACACGGCUUGGCAAAAGGCCGAUCACGCGCGUCUCCUAGUCCCUCGCGCGACCCAGACUUUCUUCGCGCCAUAUAUCGCGAUCGCGAGCAACACCGUCGCCGCCAUCCGCUGCAGAACUCGUGAGGGACUCCAUGGCGACACAAAACCGCCGCCUCACGCCAUGAGUUCAAGGACGCCACGAGUCUGAUACGAGUCAUCGCGGCGGCACCUGCAACGAGCGGUGGGGAGUAGGAAGAACUGGCGGCGCGACCUGUAAGGAAAACGCGAGAACCGGCGGUGACUUUACGCGUGCGAAGGAAAGUCGCGCGGGAAGACGAUCGCGAGCACGCGCGAAGGAAAAAAAUUGCGGACGUGUCCACUUUGGCUAAUUGCCAACUCAAUUAUGCAAAACCCUUAGAGAUUGCCUAUUUUUAGACUUUGUAUUUUGUUUUGGGAGUUUGCAAACAACAACAAAUGACAACUCAAUUAUGCAAAAACCCUUGGAGAUGUUCUAAGGGUCUAAGAUAAAUCUAGUCAAUGCUAUCGAAAAUGUGUAGAUAAGUUUAUCUAGUGUUUUUUAAAAGGACAACAAAAGUUUUUCCAUGAUUUUUGUUAGACGAAGAAACAAAAAAGACAAGUGUCAGCCUAGUUUUAUAAAUGAAAACUAAGCUACAAAAACUAUACAACUCUGGAGAGUGCUCCACUCAUCCUGCACAAUUUUGAUACAACUGUCAUAACUCAAACCACCACUUACAACUUGGUUGAAUCGACCCACUAACAAGAACUACCCAACUAAAAACAAAUAGGUCGGAGAAAAAGAACCAACUAAGACACUCCAACUAGAAAAGACAACUUGAAGAACCGAGCACUAUCACUCUUUGAGCAUCGAUCAGUAGAAGAGGUAGAAAAAGGGUGCCUUCAAGGAGGGCACAACAUCCAUAGACGUCGUCGUCCAAGCUUUCUCCCUAACCUUAUGCUACGUCCACAUCCGUCGCUAUCAAAGACCCACAGAGGAAGCCUGACCUAAGGAAACCAACCCAAGCAAGGGGGAGACAGGUGGCAGGGAGCCAGGGAGAAGAGGGCUGGGAUCAGAAGAUGCCCCCAGUCGCCUAGUCCACCACCAUUUCGAGCAAUCCCAGCAUCAAUCCCCGCCAUGUAGAGCCUCUAGCAACCCUCAUUACGAAUUUCCGUCAUCAGCACACAGGAUCUAGUAGGGGAACGUCGGUUUUGACCAAAGAGUCCAAGGGCGACCGACACCGCUGCAUCCAUUCUUGGCCCCACUAGGCCCGAAAGGCGCCGUGGACUAGGUUGCCACCCUGAUGCCAAUGAAGGCCGAAGAGCUCCACCCCUAACCUCUGACACAGAACGCGCGGAGGGGACGGAUUCGUGUGGGGGAUGUUGGAUCUACCUGCCCUCAAACCGGGUGCCAUCCAACCAGGAGAACCACACAAAGCACGUUGCAGGGGAUGCCCACUGCCGAAACCAGCCAGCGAGCAAGUCGAACAGGCCAACGGCGAGGGAAAAAGAAGAAGAUGGGGAGGAGAAGGGACCAGGGUGUUUCACCCACCUAUAAACAAGCAAUAUAUGUCUUUCUUCUAAAGAGGAUACAUUAAAUACAUAAUCCACUAAAUUAGAUCCUUAUUAGCAGUGCCAACUAGGUAGCAUAUGUAAAUAGAUCCUGGUUGUUCAUUCCUUUGGUAACCAAUGUGAUUCUUUGCUAAAGAGAAAUGAUCACUAUAUGUCCGAAUCGUCGUCUCGGCACAACACCUAAAAAUACCACAUCAGUGGCUCUAGUUAACUUAGACCAUCUCCAAGGAUUUUCAAAACCCACUCCGAAUCUUGUUCUUUUUUUUUGGUAAGAUUGAAUCCACACUCGAACAACUCCCAUAUAUCAACUCCCGACCUUUGACACUUGGGAAAAUUGAAUCAAUUAUGUAGAAAUAUAGGCUUUUAUCAAUCGGACAAUCCGAAGGUGGAAGGACAUGAGAAAAAUAAUAGUAAGGACAUGGUCCCUAAUAUAACUGUACACAAGAUUGAGAAAAAAAUAUAAAAGAUGUUGAGAUGAUUUCAAAAUAAUCUAGGAUAACUGAUGGAAAAUGAGUCAGAUGACGAAAGUGAUUGGAAGAACCUACAAUUGUGCUCCCACCUUUUUUAGCCACUUGGAAAUCUCAUUGAUUUAAGAAGUGAUUUUUUUUAGAAACAGUUGGAGAUGACCUUAGUUAGAAGCCUAAAUUCGAGCAUGUUGCAGUUAUUCAGCUAAAUCUGAGCAUGCCACACGGCAAUCGUGGUAGAUUAAAAUGCGAUCGGAGUUUUAAAGAUUAAGAAAAAAAAAUUCUGGCCUCGGCACCGUAGAACGAAACCCCAAGAUUCUAAGUUUACCAAUCAUCGGCAGGGCUUCCAUAUGGCACGAACUGCAAUAUUACAUAAGAUCGCAUUCUGCAACUGCCGGCUGCAGGGUCGCCAGCCGCCUACUCCAUUUCGCCUGGUGGCCAUGUGACCUUGCACCUCUAACACGGCAAGCCCGUCGUACGCGACGAGCCCAACGGCGACCCUUGAUGCCAAUUCGAUCAACCCGGCCGGCUUUCGCCUGCCUAUAAAACGCACCAGCAGUGUCGUCCACCGAUCGACCAAGAAAAACACCGACCGAACAUCCAAGUACAAGUACACCACUCGCUACUCUUGAAAAUUGUAGGUGAUCGACUAUAGCUGGUUCGAUCGAUCGAGCUGAGACGACGAUGGCCGCCGCCGUGAUCUCCAUCUCCUCAAAGGUGGCUGCACUCGCUGCACUGUUCGUGGUGCUCGCCAUGUCCGCCGAGGCGGCGAGCCCCAACGGCGGCUGGCUGGCAGCCAAGGCCACAUGGUACGGCGCGCCCAACGGCGCAGGCCCUGACGACAACGGUACGUGCCUGCGUCCCACGCACACGGUGGGUGUUACAGUACUACCAAUGCCCGUGUGCAUGUCUGACGUUGUUGUGUCUGCAGGUGGCGCGUGUGGGUUCAAGAACACCAACCAGUACCCGUACAUGUCCAUGACGUCGUGCGGCAACGAGCCGCUGUUCAAGGACGGCAAGGGCUGCGGCGCAUGCUACCAGGUAGUAGAGUCUACUCUUCUACAAAUAAAUUAGUUAACCUAGACAUAGUUAACUUGCAGUCCCUGGUCAGUUAAUUUGAUCAUCGCGGUCAACCGUAGCAGUAACCCCUUUAAUAUUCUCGUACCAAUUGAAAAUCCAUCAGAUACGGUGCCUGAAUAGCACCCACGACGCUUGCUCCGGCAGAGCGAAGCGUGUGAUCAUCACGGACAUGAACUACUACCCGGUGUCCAAGUACCACUUCGACCUGAGCGGCACGGCGUUCGGCGCCAUGGCCAAGACCGGGCUGAACGACAAGCUCCGGCACGCGGGCAUCAUCGACAUCCAGUUCAGGCGGGUGCCCUGCAACUACAAGGGCCUGAGCGUCAACUUCCGCGUCCAGGUGGGUUCCAACCCCAACUACUUCGCGGUGCUGGUGCAGUACGCGGGCAAGGACGGCGCCGUGGUGCAGCUGGACCUGAUGGAGACCAGCAAGGCCACCGGCAAGCCGACGGGGGUGUGGACGCCGAUGCGCGUGUCGUGGGGCGCCGUCUGGCGCCUCGACACCAAGCGGCCCCUGCAGCCGCCCUUCUCGCUGCGCGUUCGGAACGGCUCCGGCAAGACGCUGGUGGCCAGCAACGUCAUCCCGGCCAACUGGAAGCCGAUGACCGACUACCCCUCCAACGUCCAGUUCCCUAAUUAGCCGCACGCGCUGCAAUCGCCCAGAUCAUUGUUAUUCGAUCGUCCCAUUAUUAGUUAUAUUGCUUAAUCAUGUGUUGUCGUUCGUUCCAUUAUUUAUGUAUAUGUAAAAAAUGUGUGGUCGUUGUACGUACUACGUGUCUUGAGAUGCGUGGGAUAAUGGAGGAGGCAAUGUGAUCUCCCGCCCACGAUCGCAACAUUUGAAAUAAUAACAUGAUGUUUAUUUACGAGCUACUGAAACUUCGCGCAACAGUGUGUGCACGCACGGCGGAACAGGCUGCUUGUGCAGCAGCUAGCGGAGGCACGCAGCGUACGCUUCACGUGAGCAAUGCCACGGCUCAGGGCUACGGCCGGCCGCAUCCUCUGAUUGCGAUGUUACCUCGCGUUUCACGCAUAGCAUCACAUCUAUAGAGUAAGAUCUUUUGAAACGAAGGGAAAAAAAGAUGAAUUCUACAAGAAAAAAUUUCUAGGAAAGAACUCUAAGAAAAAAUUCUAGGAAUAAAGAAUUAGGUUGCUACAAAUCCUAUGAAAUUCCUAUGGAAUGACUUGUUUCAUAGGAAUUCUGGACAAAUUCUAUUAAUAGGUUGAAAUUGAAGGACGUUUUCUCUCAUCAAAUUAAUUACUUUGUCUUUUACUGCGCUCAAUCCAAACGUUUGAUUGUGUGAGGCCUGUACCAGAGUCAACUUCAUGGUAGCGUAGGCGUUUGGAGGUUGCUUCUGCUUAUAUUGGCACGGGUUUAUUUAAUUGUUUUCAUACAUAACUUCACAGUCAAAUUCAAUAUUUUUUGGUAGGAUUCGUGUCAGCAUGUGUCUCAUUCCAAACACAAGAAUGUAAGUGUAUUUUGUGCUUGGCUGGUUUUAAAAAAUGUGUUGUACAUAAAAAAAUGAUUUAGCUUACUACCCGAGGAAUUCACAAAGGUUUUGAAACAAGGGAGGUUGUUAUCAUGGGUUAAGGCUCUUUUCUAAGCUAAUAAAAUGUUGGCUUUAGCAUAAGAUUUUGGACACUGCUGUAGCAUCAUGAUGAGACAAAGGAGUAUUUCCAGUUAAUUAGCAAGCACAAAACUAGAGACCAUGUUGGAGCCGUUUUCUUUCCAUGGAUGAAAAAUUAAUGGGUAUUUUUUGCAUUUCUUAUUUCCUGAUUCAUCAAUGAAACUAUGUAACAAUGUAAAUGCUGUGUGCGAAGACACAAAAACGGGAAGUCACUUCUAUUUUAUAAAAAAAAGAUCCUCUUUCGCAUGUUUUAAACUUUGUUCAUUUAAUGUCCACCAACUUCUUGCAAAGCUCACACAGGGCAAGGCAAAAGCACGACAUGAUAUUGCUCAAAAAAAGCAGGACAUGAUAAAAAAGAAGGAUACUGAAACGUGCUCACAAAGCAUCCUUGAAAGAUAAGAUGUGGUUCUUCUGUAUGAUGCACAAGAUUUGUUGAAGUAUACCACAAGCCUUGAUUUAUCUUCGAUUAUGAAUUCAUUUCAAAAACAUACCCUCUUGAAUUUUGAAAGUUUUGUGCAAGGGCUAGUCCAUAUAUACAACCAAUGUCUAUAAAAGUAUUUGCAGUUCAAUAAUCAAACUAAGAACCAUGUCCAAAUUGAUUAAGAAAGACUAUUUAACCUAAGCACCAUGUUUAAUUUAAAACCUAUGGAAGUGCGAACAACACACUACAAACCAAAGCAUACUAUGGAAAAAUGAGGCAUGAUAGUAUACACUCCCUCGAGAUGAGAACAUGAAUGGUCAACCAAAUGAUCAUUGUUUUUUCCUUUUUAGUUUUUAUGCAAAACAAUGUAAAUGAGGUGGAUGAAAUUCAAUUUAAACGAGGGAUAUGCAUGAAUCUCUAGCUUUGCCUUUUGUUGACCUGGCACUAAUGAGUGGGGUCUCCCUCUUCUGCAUGGUGGUCCUUGAGGUGCUUGGGAGCGUCGAGUGUGGGUAUGAAGUUUGGUGUGCAUUUGAUCAUCGACAUGGAAAUGGCGGACCCAUGGAUUCAUGCAUGCAUCCAUCUGGACUAUUUUUUUUGAACAAAACAGGGGGGGGGAGAGAUUCCCCACCUAUAUUCAUAUCAGGCUCCAAUCGGAGCAGCAGUGGCAGCAGAAUUACAGGAUGUGAGGUAGCAGUGCCAAACAUUUAGAUUAGCUAUAGCUUGAUCACCUCUAAGACGAUUACACCAUAUUACAAGAUCAUCACAAACUUUGGAGACAAUAGAUCUACCAGUAGGAUUUUCAUUCCUAAAGACUGCAUCGUUUGUUGCAUCCCAGAGCCUCCAGAGAAUGGUCUGUAGAAUGAAGGGCCAAAGCUUGAUGUAUAAACCAGCAGGGGGGGUGAAUUCCCAAGUCUCUGCGUCUGGGAGGGAGGCAACAUCAACGAGGUGAAGCAUGCCCCAGACCUCGGCGCUUACAGGGCAGGUGAAGAAGACGUGGUGUCUGUCCUCAACACUUCUGGAGCACCGCACACAUUCUUCAUCAGCCAGGAUAUGUUUAGCAAAGAGGUUGGCCCGUGUGCUCAGUCUAUCUUUGUAGUAGAGCCAGGAGAAAAUUUUAACUUUGUUCGGCAUGCGCGUGCUCCAGAUGCGAUGGCCAUGGGCAUCCUGUGCAUCCCCCCUAGUGUCUAGGGCGACAUAGGCAGCUCUAGCGGUGUAUCUCUUCCCAUUGAGCUUCAUGAGUCUAAUAUCUGAGGCGUCAUCCAGUGUCAAUCCCUAUAGGCAAAGAAGGAGGGCGGCAAGCUAGGAGCUCGCAGCGUUAGUAAGCCUAGGUCGUAAGCACAAGUCAAAACCCGUUUGGAAAAUGUUUCGAACUGAGAUGUGAGGCCGGGUAGUAUGAGAGAAGAGUGCAGCAUGGGAUAGGUAUAGGGGGCCAUCCAACAGCUAAUGAUCAUACCAGAACGAGGUGGAGGCACCGUUGUGAAUAGGAACAUAAGUGAGGAAGCGAUAUGUGGAGAGUUCAUCAUUAACAAUCUUCUAGAGAUACCCGUCGGCCCCAGCUGCGGAGGUAUCUAAGGACUCAGCCUCAUGAAGGAUCCAAUUUUUCCACGAAGCAUCCUCACUGGAAAACAACUUGUCAAUGAAUUUCAUGAGCAGGCAAUGAUUUUGGAGCUCAAGGUCCUUCACGCCAAUCCCCCAUGGGUUUUGCUAGCACAGAUGUUAUCCCAGGCAACCAAGCAUUUAGAACCAUGGCAGGUAUCUUCACGAGUCUAGAAGAAAGCGCGGCGCCGGUGAUCAAUAGCUUUAAUCACAGUUUUAGAGAUAGACAUAGCCGACAUAUAGUGAAGGGGGAUGGAGCUAAGGACAACAGACGAGAGAACAAGCCAGCCAGCUCUAUUGAGGAGAGCAGCACUCCAACCGGAAAGGUGCUUGUCCACCGAAGAGAUGAGAGGCAGACAAUCAGAGACAUUGAGCUUGCUGGGGGAAAGUGGAAGGCCAAGAUAAACCUGUGGGAAGGUGGAGACAGUGGUACCCAAGUUGGCGGCCACAUCAUUAGCCAACUCAUCAGGGACAACAACUGGCAAGAAUAUAGUUUUGUGGUAGUUAAUAGACAGCCCAGUCGCAUCUUCAAAAACCUUCAGAAUUUGUUUUGUCUAUUGAAUAGCAUCCGGAGAGCAUCGAAGGAAGAUAAGUGUGUCAUCGGCGUACUGAAGGACAGGGCAAGGAGCAUUGGGAAUGAGCGGGUGGUGGAGACUGGUAGCAAGGGAGGAGUGAUGGAGGAGACGGUGGAGAACAUCUGCCACAAUAAUGAAGAGAUAAAGGGGACAAAGGGUUCCCCUGACGAAGCCUAUUUUAGCAAUUGAUCCAUCUCCCAGGAACCCCAUUAAGGAGGACUGACGUUUUACCGGCGACAAGUAGAGUGUGGAUCCGGUGACACCAGGUGACAGAGAACCCCCUGGUACGGAGAAUUUGGAUCAUGCUAUCCCAGUUGACACAGUUGAAAGCUUUAUGGAAAUCGAGCUUGAGGAUCAGUGUAGGAGCGUUAUGACGGUAGCAGCAGUGGAGGAGGUCGGCGGCAUAGGCAAAACUAUCAGCGAUGCAGCGCCCGAGGACGAAGCCGGUCUGGUCAUUGCGACCAAGAGAGAAAUCAUAGGCUGGAGCCUGGUGGUGAGAACUUUGGAUAGGCUCUUGACAGUGGUGUUCUGAAGGGCAAUGGGGCGGAUGUCCCCCGGCUCCGGAGGGUUACUUUUUUUGGGAGGAGAACAAGGUAGAAUCUGUUAAUCCGUUCAAGAUCAGCAGUGUGGUCAUGAAAACCCUAAAAGAGAUCAAUCAUGCUGACGGAGGUGAUCGACCAUGUUGCUUUAAAGAAAGAGGGGCCAAAGCCAUCUGGUCCCAGACUAGUAGUAGAACGCAUGGAGAGAACAACUUUUUUGAUCUCAGCGCUAGUGAAGGGGCUAUCAAGUUCAUCGAGGGGGAGAGGCCCAUCCGGAUACAGAGUGCUCAGCUGGAAGAUCCAAUCAGUUUCACAGACACAACCCACAAGAUUAUGGUAGAACGAAUGUAAGAUAUUCGCCUUCUGGCCAUGAUUAUGGUAUUCACGUCCAUCGUGCUCAACAACUUGAAUUCUAUUCAUGCGCCUUCUCUGAUUAGCACAGACGUGGAAAUAGCGGGUGUUUUCAUCACCACAGAUAGCAGCUCUAACUUUACUUUGUUGAUUCCAAAAAGAAAGCUUGGCAUGUGAAACUCUACUCAGGAGGUUUACAAUAAUGCACCUCAGAUUAGCUUCUGCCUGCCGAAGGGCACGGUGUUCUUCAACGAAGUUGAGAAGGUUGAUGACAAUUCGGUAAUCAGUCUCUUGUUGAGAGAUGUGGGGAAAAGAUUUUCGCCAAGCUCCGAUAGUAGAGCGCGUUGCUUUGAGCCUGCUGGCAAGAAGGGCAGCAGGCACUACUACAAAAUUUAUUAACCGUGACCUUUCAAAGUGUCUUUCGGAGGCGGGCAGGGUUUGCAACCGUCUUGGUUAAUGGUAGUCAUUAACCGAGGCGGUUAUUUGUUAUUAACCGAGGCGGGCAUUUUUAACCGCCUUGAAAAAUCAAUUUAUGGAGGCAGGCGCUUUAAAACAACCGCCUCCAAAAAUAUCUUAUUUUCAGAGAUGGUUGUGUAAUGAUCCUGCCUCCAAAAUUUUGUUUUCGGAGGCGGACGUGCUAUAAUGCCCGUCACCUAAAAAGACUGAGGUCCAGUGAGCCCAGUCGAGCCCGAUAACUGUGUACGUAUAUAUACAGAAACUUAGGGUUUUGGGACUGUCCUCCUCCCUCUCCCUCACACUUCCUACCCAUUCUCCAUCUCUCUCACCCACUCCCACUCAGAUUCAGCCGAGGCAAGGGCCUAGGCGCAAGCGGCACGAGGCUCCUGUGGUGGCAUGGGGUGAGCUGCGCGAGGAGCCCAUGACGGCACAAGGCGUCCGCGGUGGCGCGAGGCGAGCCAUGCGAUGCGAGCGGCCGCGCGAUGUGAGCCGUGCGAGGCGCUAGCGGUGGUGUGAGGCGAGCCGCGAGAGGAGAGCCCAUAUCCACGUGCUUGCCUUCACCUGCUUCCUCUUCUCCAGCCUCAUCGCGCUCUGCCUCAAGCAGCUCGUCCGCACAUACCCGCCCCACCGCCGCGCCCUCCAACUCCGACGCGGGUCCCUCUGGUGGCGGUGCCCCUCCCUCUAGAUCUCGCACGGCGCGGCGUGGACAGCAUGGUUCUGGUGGCCGGGGGGCAGAUCCAUGCGGGGGCGACGCGGUCGCCUCCUCUUCCUCCGGCGUGGCGGCGUGCACGAGAGCCCAGACGAGCUGCGGCGGCGGUGGGUUGUGGAUGGGCUUAGCGGGCCCAUGGAUGGGUUUGCUGGGCUUGUCCAUGGGUUUUGUUUUUUUUUGUUUUUUAUAUCGAUUAACAGUGGCGAGCAGGUAACCACCUUGGAAAAGGUCUUAUUUACUAUGACCUUUAGUUCGAGGCGGUUGGUCUGCCCGCCUUGGUUAAGCACUUUUGCCUGUUUUGGUUAAAAAAUAUUGUAGUAGUGAGCGUUAUUGUUCUCGGUCCGACAACACCAGGCAGUGGUCACGACAUCAUGAAAACCUGGGGAAUGGAUCCAAAAGUUUUCAAUGCGGAAGACCGUGGAUUUAGGAAUGGUAGUGGAGAUUUCAACUUUGAGGGGAACAUGAUCAGAGGUGCUUCUGGUAAGGGAUGAGAGGACUGUGUUGGGAAGGCGCUCGUCCCAGCAAAGGUUAACAAAGGCUAUAUCCAACCUCUCUAGCAUCGGGUUAGCCCUCCUAUUGGACCAGGUGAAGUUCCUGUCCAGAAGUGGUAGUUCAAUGAGGCACAUAUCAUUGAUGCAGUCGUUGAAGGACUUAGCUUCAGAGAAGUGGAAAUUGUUCUUGUUCUUUUCAUGAGCAUAGCGAAUCAUAUUAAAAUCACCACAUAGCAUCCAAGGAGUGCCAUCAGGAGGAGUGAUCAUUCUAAGUUCAUCCAAAAACUCAGGUCUACAUUCCGGGGUGGAGGGUGCAUACACGUUGGUGAUAAGGAAGGAUAGGUUAGUUGCAGUGGAUGACAAAAAACAGACACCGUAUGAGCAGUGGUGGAGGUGGUCAUCGCGGUGAAAAGGGAUUUAGGCCAAGCAGUGAGGAUUCCACCGGCGGCGCCAUCAGUGGGGGAGGAGAAGAAACUGUUGAGAUGGCGUGGGAGGAAGCUAGAGAGCUUAGUGGGAGUAAUGUUGGAUAGCUUUGUUUCUUGGAGGAGAACAAUAUCGGGUUUCGAGGAUAGAAGCUCCAUAAGCACAUCACCACAUUUACCAGAGUCACCUAAACCUCUCACAUUCCUACAACAAACAGUAAAAGUUCUAUUCAUGGGAAAAACUGAUACAAUGUCUUCUUCAGGUAGAGACCACGAACUACUAGCCUGGACUUUACAUUAUUCCUCAGGUUGAGGUAACCUGGGCUUCCGUCAGCUAGACUGGGAUUACAACAAGACGCUGUAGCAGGAAGGACAACUUGAACCAAAGAGAAAAACAGACCAAACAGACAUGGCAGGUGGACCCUUCGCCUAUGAGAAACAAAAUUGGAGGCCACGGGCCUCGCAGCUAGGCGAUGUACAUCAAAGGAACAGGCGGUGGGUUGCACAGGCACUGUGAUCUUGGGGGUUGUCAUCAUUCCUUCACGGCAGGCGACUCCGCCUCACCAGAGAUGGUCGCGAGCUCCUCAGUGGAGGCCCCGCAAGCAUCGGCGAUCUCGUACAGGGACUCGUUAUCACCUCAGGGAUAAAAAGGAUCAGAUAGGAGAUAAGAUCUAGAGAUAGCAGUGCGAAUUCGGUGAGACGCACCCGUGAAGUCAAACUUAGCCUGCUGGACCCGAGUGGCCUUGUCCUCCGGGAGCUCGAAGCAGGGGUCGUCCUUGGCCAAGAGCCUGGAGCUCCUGCGCAGCUUGCGGGCAGUGUCCUUGGCCCGCUUGCGUCUAGCACUCCUCUUCUAGGCGCGGCUCUCGUGUUCCUCCUCCGUGUGCCCACCAGCAGAGAAAGUGGUGGGGGCACAUCCAGGCUCAAGUGAGACAAGGCAGCAGCAGCUUCUUCUUCAUCAACAGUUGGAGCAGGGACGUGCUCCUCACCUGCGGUGUAGUCAUGAUCUGGAACACCACCAACACCAUACCAUGGCAGAGCGAGCAUAGGAUGGUUGUGCUGGGUAGUAGGGUUGGAGUUAGUAUUGGCGGCUGCAGGGUGGGGGGUGGGACGUCUGGUGGUGACUGGGUGAAGUCGUGGAGUGGUGGUGGGGAGUUCCCACUCGAGGAUAGUGGCAGCGAGGUUAUGCGGUGCAGCAGGCAUCUGAGUAGGUGCAUUGCCAAUGGGGUGGUAAUCUGGUGGGGUGUGGAUAGUGGGGUGGGGACCGAAAGUGUGGUCGGUGAAAUCUGGCAAGGGUGGAGCAUCGACCCAGGUAAAAAUGAUGUGGAUCUUAGCAAUGGCAGCAGGCCCGCUAUGGUUGCGCACUAGGAGCUGUUCAGGAACUUCAUGAUCAUGGUCAAGGCGAACCACAACACGCAUGGAAGUGAAAUCAACAUCAUGAAGGCAAUCGGGGUCAAUACAACAAACAUUACCGAUUGCGCUCAGAGCCUCCCUGGCUAGAGACUCGGUCCAGUGCUCGAGGGGGAAGUCGACUGCGGCUAUCUCGGCAUAGACGCUGUAGAAGGCGUAGAAGCGGUUGUCAGCUUCCUCGUGCCACUCCACCGUGAUGGUGUUGCCCUCAAAGGUGAGGGGGACUCGGCCACCACCUGCUCCCUCGCCUCUGGGCUGCCGAACACCAUGAUUCCUAUGCCGUGAGCGGAGGCCGCGAGGUGGAAGGCCGGGGCCCCGCAGACGUUCUGCAUCGCCUGCUUGAUGAAGAGGUGGGGGCUGUGGACCGCCUGUUCGAUGUACACGUAGGCAUACACCCUGGACGCCUCGUACUCGCCAUUGCAGACAUGGGCCUCCACCAUGCCCCUCCGAGCAGGGACCUGGCACGAAGACUCAACCCUAGGAGAUGGGGGUGGGGCAAGCGGCUUAGGGAGAUCGGCUUGGUCAUAGGGAGUGAUGGUGGGGUGGAAAGCAUUGGAGUGGAGGAGGGUGGUUGCAUCGGCGAUCAUGGUGGAGGUGGUGGGGGAGCGCAAUGGGGGGGCGAUCUUUGGUAGAGUGGUAAGACUCGGAGGUGGUACUGGAUCCGGCAGACAUAUUGCGAGUGUAAGCGGCUUUGCAGUGAAAACGUUUGUGACCAGACCGAUAGCACCGGGAGCAUUUUAUAGGGUCCCGACACGCAGAGACGAAAUGGUCUGAAGCGAGACAUCUGAAGCAUCUCUUCAACGCAACCUUUUUUUGCCUCUCAGGAAUAGAGUGUUUUGCCGAGACAGGGAUCGUUGAUCAACUUUGGGAGCCGGAGCAUUGUCGACGCCGGCGAGGUGAGUACGUGUCUGCAGGAGUUGGCACUUGGUAGAAGUGUUGAUGUGGUGGAAGCGGGGGUGAUCACCAGCGGUGGUAAAAGGAGGUGAGUAAGCACAUUUGUCACAAUCACUCGCCAGACAAUAGGCCUGCAUAGUAGGAGGAUGUAGCUGGAAAGAGGCAGGAUGAGUGGGGUUACAGUGAGGAGCGACAUUAAGGAGGUUCUCUGGCACAGAAACAGUGACUGAUCUCAUCUCGCCGUGGUCUUCUAGGUCGCCGUUCAGGCGCUCCAACUUGGCCCAAGCAGAGAAAACAUGCUCAUAAGCUCAUCCCACCAGUGAUAAAAUGUACGUUAGUUGUGAUCAAUAGUUCGGAUGGAUUAGUCACUCUAGAAUAUAUGUAUUUGGCCUUUUAUUCCAUAUUAGGAAUGUGGGUUAUGUUUAUAAUUUAUCUUAAAAGUACACUUUGUUGGUGGUAAAUGUGGUGUAUAACGACCGUCAAUAAUAUUGCCUAAUUGCUUUGAUGUGGUUAGGUCGGUUGAGGAUAGGGCGAAACCUUGUACAGUGACACCUAGAGCCAUUGCUAAUUUCUCCUUGGAGGUAUCCAUUGUGUCCUACCUUGCUUGUGUUCUUUGAGUGAAAACCUACCAUUCAUGGGUGUGCGAUUACAGUGCCAUUGGCAUCGUGAUUUUCCUGAAGACGUUAUCGUAAAAAUCUAGCAGUGGACUUAGGACCUCUUUGAUAGCGACAGAACCCUUUUGUGGCCUAUGGGAAGGCGAAACUGCUACCUUGAUGUGUUAUUGAGCUUGACAAUGAUGACUCAAAGCCAUGUUUUUGGUUGUUGGCAAUGGUUGCCUUGGCUAAUCUUGGAGAUAGCUGUUUUUGGGACUUGGUGGCAUCUUGGUUCCCUAUCUAGGCUUUGUUUCAUACCUUAAAACAUGUUUGAGAUCCAUUGAUGUGAAGUUGGACCUGCUGUAUCGCAAGUGGCAAGCAUGGCAACUAUGACACAGACUGUGUCACCUUCUCUGUAUGUUCGUAAUGUUGCAUGACGUAGUUAGUGGUUCCAUGGUUUGUGGACCAAUUUCCCUUAUAAAUUGGGCUAAUUCUCUUCUUCUUUUUAAUAUGUGCUGAAGCAAUAUGUUUUGGAUCUUAAAAAAUGAAGAACAAUGCUCAAUGGAGAUCACAGAAGUUGACACGAUGCAAAAACUUUGCUCUAGUGAUAAACUAGAGCAUUAACUGUAGAGUUUACUGUGGUCCAACAACCAAAGUGUAUUUGAGACCAGAGAAAAAAGGAUCGCAACUUAGAGGAUUUGAAUAUCGUGGGGGAGAAAACAAAUGGAGGCCUUUGAAAAAAGGAUUGGAUCUCUAAAAUUGCUAUAUGAAAAGCCUGUAAGAUGUUUUUUACAUGCACUCAUACCACGUAUUUGUUACUCCUAUGAAUGUAUGCAUGGAUAUUUUAUCCAUAUGAACAUGUCGUCAUGUCCGACAGACUAAACUAGUAGAUCUUAUAUUGACAAAAUGACAAUAAGUAUCUUGUUGUUAAGGGGCCCAUUGUUUAUCACUAAAAGAAUAUCAUUGUUUCUCGCUGAAACAAAUUUAGAGGAAUGCAAGCAACUAUAUCAAAUUGAUCGAGGACUUGUCACUACAAAAUGGCUUAUUGCAAUAAGUCUUCCUCUAUUUGUCAAUAAAAUAAAUUGUGUAGACUACCUCCAAAUUCAUAUACAAUAAUGUAGUUGAACUACACCAACCAUUGCUGUGCUAUUACUAUCGGUUCAUAACACUAACGUACAGUGAUAGACGGGUUAUCACCACCGGUUCCUGAUGGCUUCAACCGACAGUGAGCUAAUGAUAGUCUAUUUUGCAUAAAAAGUAUGACCUUUUUAUAUGAGGUCGGAUCAAGAUAAACUUUAUAUCAAAAUUAUAGAGUUCAAAGAUAUCUAAAACUUUAUAGUUGGCAACUUUUAAAUUUGAGAUGGUUUCCAUGCUUAAAUAUUCAAUAUAAGUUCUCGAACUAGAUUUGCGAGAUGGUUAACAAUGUUGAAAAGACAAAGUUAACAUCAAAGUUGUAAUACUCGAUGAGAUCUAUAACUUUGCAGUUGCCAACUUUUCAUUCAAGAUAAUUUAGAAUAUCAAAUAUAUAAUAUAAAAUUCAAAAUUGUGUAGUUAAAAGAAUAACAUCAGUUAUAUGGUUACAAGUUUUGCGUAGCUUAGAUGAUAUGGAAGCUCGAGAGGAUUCAAUCGUAGUAAUACUUUGCACUUGAAUUCCUAUCACAAUUACGUUUUCUCUUAUUUUUCUAUUUCUACAUUUUUCCACUCCCCUAAGGAUCAGCAUGCAAGGCAAGUAGGCAACAUAUAUCAAAAGUCAGCCCCGAGUUGUGCCUUGCAUGAUCUAAUAAAGCUUCCAUAUUUAUGGACUUUUCCCGCCACGUUGCAGCUGUAGUUUGUUGCAACAACCAUGUAACAUUCUUUUAAAGGGACAAUGAUUCGGCGAGAAUGCAUAUAUAUAAAUGUUAACAGAGUAUUCAUUGUAACGCGAUAUUUGUUUUCCUGAAAUCAAAACAAGUUAACGCCGUUACUAGCUACGUGGUGGCACAUCUUUUAGCUGCACAGCGGAUGUGUGGACACGACGAAAUAACACGGCACCACGUCGGGUGCAAAGCGCCCAAAGACCUGUUGUGUUUUGAAAAUGCUGAAUGUGUGUCGCCCCUUUUUGCCUGUCUAUAUAUGCGACAUGCCGGCCUCGCCCUGCUCCGGCAAAACCCGAACACGACGACCUUGAGCUGAGAUGGCCGUCGCGAUCUCCAUCAAGGUGGCUGCACUCGUCAUCUCCGUGUUCGCCACGCAUGGCGCUCGCGCGCAGCCGAGCUACAACAACGCCUCCUCCUCCUCCGCCCGCAGAGAGUUGUACUACUCCAGCACCACCGGCGGCAGCUGGCUCCCUGCCAAGGCCACCUGGUACGGCCGGCCCAACGGCGCCGGCCCUGACAACAACGGUGUGUGUGCGCCUGGAAUGCUGUCGUGUUUUCCUUGUGUUUUAAUUUAAUCUGUGUCUUUGCUUUCAUGCACGCCUGAAUAUGAUGUCGAUCGUGGUGCUGAUCGAUAUGUUUCUUUUUGCAGGUGGCGGGUGUGGGUACAGCGGCACCAACCUGUACCCUUUCAAUUCCAUGACGUCCUGUGGCGACAGGAACGUGUUCAGGGACGGCAAGGGCUGCGGCUCAUGCUACCAGGUAUACUACUACGUGAAACAUGCAUAUAGCAGUCCUUGUUUGCUUGCGGUCGACUCGAGCGUUGUGUGUGUGUGAGUGGCGAGUGCGCACGUCUCCCUGCCGAUCGUGUUGCGUUCAGCGUUCAGAGAGGCCGGUGAACCGCGACAUGGACAUGUCUUGAUCCUGAUCUGUUUGGUUGGUCUGCUGCUGCUUCUCAGAUAAAAUGCGUGAGCAGCAACAACCCUGCCUGCUCCGGCGUGCCCCAGACGAUUAUCAUCACCGACGUGAACUACGACACCAGCCUCGGCCCCAACCGUUUCGACCUCAGCGGCACGGCGUUCGGCGCCAUGGCUAAGCCUGGCC
rnacentral:lncRNA from 1 species